UAUUUUUUGGGUGUGGCCAAUGAUAACAAGCGUAACAGUUUUAUAAGCUGUCCAUGCAACAAGUGCAAAAACCAGAAGGAGUAUUCCACCGCACGAACUAUUCAUGCCCACCUGUUUCAGUGGGGGUUCAUGUGUAGCGACAAUUGUUGGACCUCGCACGGAGAAGUUGGGGUUGCAAUGGAAGAAGAUGAAGUAGAAGAUGAUAACAUUCCGGACUGGGCUUGGUAUGGCAGAUUUGAAGAAAACACAAUGGGCGAGGAGGAGCUGGAUGUUGAAGGUAAUGAAGGUGCUGAUGAACUUGGUCAAAUAUUGCGGGACGUACAGGAGGACUGCGAAAGUGAAAAGGAGGUGCAGAAACUGGAGCACAUGUUAGCGGACCACAUAACAGCGUUGUACCCAGGUUGCGAGCAGGGCCACAAAAAGUUGGGUACCAUCCUAGAAUUCUAGCAAUGGAAGACUAAAAAUGGUGUGAGUGACAAGGCAUACGGCGAGUUAUUGAAACUCGUAAAGAACAUUCUUCCGGAGGGGAAUGAAUUGCCCGAAAGUAUGUACGAAUCUAAGAAGGCGGUCUGCCCUCUAGAUUUGGAAGUACAGAAGAUACACGCGUGUCCGAACGAUUGUAUCCUGUAUCGCGGUGAGGAGUGCGAAAACCUGGAAGCAUGCCCUGUUUGCAAAGCACUACAAUACAAGAUAAGACGAGAUGAUCCAGGUAAAGUUGACGGAUAGCCUUUGAAGAAGAGAAUUCCUGCUAAGGUGAUGUGGUAUUUCCCUAUAUAAUACCAAGGCUGAAGCGGUAUUUCAGGAACAAAUCACAUGCUAGAAUGAUGUGGUGGCACGCAGAAGAACGUAAACAAGACGGGAUGCUAAGACACCCCGCUGACGGGUCGCAGUGGCGAAAUAUCGACAGAACAUUUAAAGACUUCGGCGAGGAUGCACAAAACGUGAGGUUCGGUUUAAGCAUGGAUGGAAUGAAUCCGUUUGGAGAGAUGAGUAGUGGCCAUAGCGCCUGGCAGGUCACCAUGUGCAUCUACAAUCUGCCCCCUUGGCUAUGCUUGAAGCGGAAGUAAAUCAUGAUGCCGAUUAUUAUUCUAGGCCCGAAGCAACCUGGUAACGCCAUUGAUGUGUACCUAAGACCAUUGGUAGAAGAUCUAAAAGUGUUGUGGAGGAAAGAUGGCGUCCCCGUGUAGGAUGAGGACAAGCAGAAGCAAUUUAACCUACGAGCGUUGCUGUUCGUUACUAUUAACGAUUGGCCUGCACUUAGUAACCUAUCCGGAUAGUCAAACAAGGGGUACAAGCUUGCACUCACUGUAUGGAUGAAACUGAAAGUACGUAUCUGAAGCAUUGCAGGAAGGUUGUUUACAUGGGCCAUCGUCGAUUCCUUGCUGCAAACCACCCUGUACGGAAAAAUAGCAAGCACUUCGAACAGAAGGCAAACCAUCGUACUAAGCCUAAACAUCGCAACGGGAAAGCAGUGUUCGAAAUGGUGAAGGAUCUAAAAGUAGUAUUUGGAAAGGGGCCUGGCAGCCAACCCAUAGAGAGUGAAGAUGGUCACGUGGCGAUGUGGAAGAACUCUUUUUUUUGGGAGCUACUGUAUUGGGAGGUCUUGGACGUCCGCCACGCAAUUGACGUGAUGCACCUCACUAAGAACCUUUGCGUAAACCUGCUGGGCUUCUAGGGUGUAUAUGGUAAGUCCAAAGAUACACUUGAAGCACGCAAUGAUCUGAAGCAUAUGGAACAACGCGAGGGCCUUCAUCCGGAACCGAAUGAGAAAGGAAGCCAUUACUUGAGCCCGGCGAGCUACACCCUGAGCAAGGAAGAGAAGGAGAGUAUGUUUCAAUGCCUAGAGAGCAUCAAGGUACCAUCCGGAUACUCCUCGAAUGUAAAGAGAAUAAUAAGCACGAAGGAUAAGAAGUUCACAAAUCUAAAGUCUCAUGACUGUCACGUGCUUAUGACACAGCUGCUUCCUGUUAUAAUUCGUGGUAUCCUUCCUGAUAAUGUCCGGGUAACAAUAAAGAAGCUUUAUGCUUUCAUGAACACAAUUUCACAGAAAGUCAUCGAUCCUGAAAGUUUAGCCACCCUUCAGUAGUACGUGGUGCAAUGCCUUGUCAGCUUUGAGUUGAUCUUUCCACCGUCAUUCUUCAAUAUAAUGACGCAUCUUCUAUGCCACCUUGUGAAAGAGAUCGGUAUUCUCGGUCCUGUGUACCUACAUAACAUGUUUCCUUUCGAGAGGUACAUGGGUGUUCUAAAGAAGUACGUUCGUAACCGUUCUCGUCCGGAAGCAAGUAUCGCGAAGGGGUAUGGAACAUAGAAUGUCAUUGAGUUCUGCGUAGAUUUUAUUGAAGACCUCCAGCCAAUCGGGGUACCCGAAUCAAUCCAUGAGGGGAGACAACGGGGAAAGGGCACACUAGGAAGGAGAGCAAUUAUGACUGUAGACAACGAUUUAUUCCAUAAAGCACAUUUCACGGUUUUGUAACAAUCUUCGUUGGUUUCUCCUUACAUCGAGGAGCACCUGGCGAUUGUUCUCUCAGAAAACAUUGGCAAGUCCGAUGCCUGGAUUGCACGCCAUCAUAUUGAUACUUUACCCGCUUGGCUGCGAGAACACCUCAUGGUAACGACACGAUUGACCGACAACUAGCCUUCUUGGCUAGGGAACCCUCUGGCUCGGUAACUACAUUCUAAGGUUAUGAAAUCAAUGGAUCCACAUUUUACACAAGAGCCUAAGACAAAAAGAGCACGAACCAGAACAGUGGUGUUCGUAUCGAUGCCAUAGGACACGAUGGUCCAACUAACACGUAUAACGGUGUCAUCGACAACAUAUGGGAACUAGAGUAUGGACCCCUGAAGGUCCCUCUGUUUCGGUGCCAAUGGGUUAGGCUGACUGGUGGAGGCGUAACGAUUGAUGACAGCGGGAUGACAACGGUUGACCUAAACAAGGUUGGAUACUCAGAUGAACCAUUCGUUCUAGCCAAUGAUGUAACGCAAGUUUUUUACGUGAAGGACAUGGCUAGCAAACCAAAGAAGGGGAAAGGGCCCGAUGAGCCAAGACGCCACGUUGUUCUCCUAGGCAAGAGAAAAAUCGUUGGAGUCGAGGACAAGACUGGCGAAAAUUACGAUCUGUUUGAGGGGCAACCUCCGUUCGCAGUGACGGUUGACCCGAGCAUCGUACUAUCAAAGGAGGACACGUCGUACUCACGCAACGAUCAUAACGAAGGAACAAUAGUGAGGAGAAAGUACGUGAGGAAGACAGUGACAUAGGUUGUUUGAUGGAAGAUGUAAAUUAUUUGUAUUGCAUUGAAGGUCGAACAAUUUGGAUCAAUUUGUAAUAUAUUAUUCUCGACUGCUUAAUUUUUAAUGUAUUAUGAUUUUUCAACCAUUUAAAUAGUUCAUAUGAUAUUUAUAAAUAAUUACUUCUAUUUAUUUACAAUUUGAAUACAAUUAAAUAGGCCAUAGCUUAAUUAUAAAUGAUUACUUCUAUUUAUUUACACUUUGAAUACAAUUAAUUAGGCCAUAGCUUAAUUAUAAAUGAUUACUUCUAUUUAUUUACACUUUGAAUACAUAUAAUUAGGCCAUAGCUUAAGUAUAAAUGAUAAUUUCUAUUUAUUUACACUUUCAAUAGAAUUAAAUUGGCCUUAUGUUAAUUAUAAAUGAUUUUUUCUAUUUAUUUAUACUUUGAAAGCAUUUAAAUAGGCCUUAUGUUAAAUACAUACGAUUAUUGGUAUUUAUUUGGACUUUGAAAACAUUUAAUUCGGCCAUAUGUUAAUUAUAUUGGAUUUAUUGGUAUUUAUUUGAACUUGUAAACAAUUUAAAUAAGCCAUAACUUGAUUUUGUGUAAACAUCUUUAGUCCAGGUUAUUAAUAGUAGCUGUGACCAAUAUAAAUUUGGUAAUAGCUGGAAAAUAUCUUUAGUCCCGGUUCGUGGCUCCAACCGGGACUAAAGAUAUAUCUUUAGUCCCGGUUGGAGCCACGAACCGGGACUAAAGAUCCCCGGCUAUAAAUAGCCACUGCAUCGGCUUCCCCGCGCCACACUUAGACACUUCUCUCCCACAAUAUUCUUCCUCGUGCGCCAUCACCGCCCGAGACGCCGCCGGCCGCUGCCACCGCCGUCGUCGUCGUCUUGCUCGCCGCGCUCAGCCGCCCUCGCCAACGCCACUGGCAGCGUCGCCUCCCUCAAGGUGAAUCUUGCACCUCCGAUCUCUCCAUCUCUCUCUUCACGUCAAUCUCUCUCUCUCUCUCUCGAUCUUGAUGACGCUGGCCGACCGGACUUCGCCGCCAUCGCCAUCGCCGCCACCACCGCUGCCACCUCCGCCGCCGCCUCGCACCGCACCCGCCGCCGCGCGCCAACUCCACCGCCGCCACCUCGCUGACGCCAACGCCACCGCCGCCACCUCGCCGCGCGCCGACUCCACCGCCACCGCCUCGCGCUGACUCCACCGACCUGCACAACACCGCCGCCGCACAAACGAACGAGAACGACGAUGUUUUAGCGAGAACAUUUGAACGAAAACAUAAACGGUCGAACGUUUGAACAAGAACGUUUUAGCUAGCAAACGAGAACGUUUUAGCGAACGAGAACUAUUAACAAACGAGAAUGACGACUUAGCAACUUUCACGAACGACUUAGCGACUUUCACGAACGACGACUUAGCGACUUAGCGAGAACGACGACUUAGCGACUUAGCGACUUUCACCAAUGACGACUUAGCGACUUAGCGACUUUCACGAACGACGAAAUGAGAUCAACGACUUAGCGACUUAACGAGCACGAUGACUUAGCGAAUUAUACAUGUAUAUUUGUAGGGUUUAGACAUAUGACCUUUAUAUGUCGAUUGUAUUCCAAUUUCGAUGUACAUGACCUCACUAUCUUUUUUUCUUUGCACACACAGAUGGCAGACCGCGAUGACGAACAAAUCCUGUUAGACGCGAUCGUAGAGGGCAGCAAUCAGUACUGGGUGGAUGAGGAGGGGAACGAGGAUCCCAACCAAUACCUGAAUAAGGAGGGCCACGAAGAGGGUAACCAGGAGGCUAACCAGAAGGGGACUGAUAGCCAACCGUCGGCCGGACAGAACAGCCCACGCGGGAAAAGAGGUCCCGCGAAGAAGCUGGAGGGAAGGCACAUUAUUACUGAGAUUGCCCCAGACAGCGAACCAGUAGCCCCGGCAGGUAUAGGCCGAAAGUUUGUGAAUCAUAGCGAUUGGGUCGUGAGAGACAACGUCCCCAUCAGCAUAAUGUACUGGCGUCGAACAAGGUCCCGCGGGGAUGAAGAUAGUUUUCUCCCUGACACAGAGAAAGAUAUGCUGUGGACAACCAUGCUAGAGACAUUCACGAUCCAUGAGGCAAAUCGUCCAAGAUGCAAAGAAUGGACCCUCAAGAAAAUGUCAGAACUGUUCCAAAGCUACAAAUCUGAUUUGUACAAGAGAUACAUCGUCAAGGGCUUGACACCUGAUUUCAAACAGCAUAAGAAGCUAAGGGAUCACUGGGAUGUGUUUGUGGCCUAUAAGACUGGAGCGCAAGGGCAAGCACAAAUAGAAAAGAACAAAGCCAAUGCAGCUAGGACGAAAUACCAUCACCGGCUAGGGUCAGGCAGAUAUGGAAAGGCAAUCCCCAAGUGGGACAAAUUGGAAGCCGACUUGAUACCACGGGGUACCGAGCCGGCAAUGGCUAAAUGGCCUGAGCGAUCAAGGAACUGGUUCUAUGCACAUGGUGGAUCUCUCAAUCCAGUUGAUGGCUUCCUCAUAUUCGGCGAUGAGAUCCGAGAAGUAGCCCACCAACUUCAGGAUGCAGUUGAAGCCUCUAUGCAAGGGACUUUCAGGCCAGACAGAGAGAGAAGGACGAGCUCACCCAUGCACUACAGAAUCCUGAGCAGCCAGGACGAACGCGGGGCAAAGGCAUCGUUCCUUGGAAAUAUGGAUUCAAAGUGGACAUCCACACGUAUAGGAGUCGGAUUAGGAGCAAUAGGGAUACCGAGGCUAAGAUCGUUGAUCUUGAGUACAGGGUGUCCACCUACGAGGCAAGGAUGCAAGAGGAGGUUACGAGACAGGUGGACCAACGCUUGGCCAAGUAGAGCGAAAUGGAAACACAGGCGCCCGUCAUGGUGAGCCCCUCAGGCAACCGCAGCAGCUGCGCAUCAACGGGCCAUGUUGGAUCUGAGGGCAUUGAGGCCGUGGCAGCUAACGAAGCAACCCACUUCCCCGUUGAUGAGAUCACACAGUGGACACCCUGCAAUAUGCAUACUCCCUUCAGGAAUUGUCUAUCAAGGUAUGCGAGAUAUAUAUUUAUAAACUGCGAAAAUUUUUACAUGUAAAUGUUGAUUACUAAUUAAUGAACUCGAUGUCUUAGGUGGCGUCGGGCAUGGCCAUACCCACGGACCCUUCGGGUACAUACCAUUGCAGGCCCAUUCCACCUGGAUACGCGAAGGUAGAGAUAGAGCUGGUGGAAUGAACAUACAAGGAUCUCGAGCUUGACAUCCCCGGAGGUGACGGGGAGACGAAACUUGGAGACACAGCCCAAGCCAUCAUACUCUGGCGGAAGAAGUACAUCGUGUUUCCCGGGCAAGAAGGUUCGUCCGCUCCUCCUUCCCCACCGCAAGCACCGUCUCCUCCACCUCCUCAGUCUCCUUUGGCUCCUUCGGCUACACCGUCACCUCCCGCUCCUCCGCCUUCACCACCUCCUCCAUGUGUACCUGCUGCCAAGUCUGCACCGUCGGGUCCGCGGGAAACGACUCCUCGGCCUGCACUAGCUACCAAGUCUACACCGUCAAGGUCCCGCCCGUAUGAGCCCAUGCUGUCAAGACCGAAGAAGAAAGCCAAAUCUGACGAGCCAAGGCUCCCCGCUCUCAAGAAAAGGGCGUAUGACUUGACUCCGAAGGAGCUCGAUGAAGCCGUUAGAGCGGAAGUUAGGGAGCAGUUGAAGCCACAGAGUCCGGAAAAGAAGAUCCCUAUACCCCCGGCGGUUCAAGAUCACUUUAUUAAGAUGGCCGAACCGAGCAAACAGGUCGUAGUUUCUGACUACGAUCGAACAUUGAGGAAGGCUCUUAAAGCCAAGCCAGUAGCAGUGAAGUGUAGAAAGGAAGUCCCUCAGCUGGGGUAGCAACCACAACAAGAGGUUGAACCGUUCGUAAAUCCAGAACAACUUGAGAUACGCAAGUUCUUGAGAGAAACUAGACUAAGGAUGGAGCAGUUGCUAAAGGACACACCUAUCGAAAUGGCUCCAGUGAAGUACAUGUUUAAACUCGGUGAACCGCUAGUCACGGCUGAUAAGAUAAGAGAGCUACCUACACAGAUGUACCGGUUUCAUCAAUGGUACUUGGACAAAUCAGGGAUGGGUAGAGAGAUGUUCGGAGCGAGGGUGCGAAACUCAAUUUAUUACCAAGGAGAUGAUGUUCUUUGGAUCCAUUACAAAGAUGUCUUUGACUUAUAUAUACCACCGAGACGCCCUCGACGUCUCUCUUCUCAGCACGUGGACUUUGUAAGUAUUGUUUAUUGCUUCAUCCUUUGAAUGUAGCUCAUACAAAUUCCUUUUAUGCUUUUGUAGAAUGGAGAUUCAGUUGUGCCAUUAGCACAACAAAUUCAAUACAGGAUUCAUGGACCCCCACAAAGUGAACACGCUGAUGCUGCAAAACUACGAGAAACAAACCGAGGACAAUAUCCUCCAUUUCCUAGUGCAGCAGCAUUAUAAGACGUUCAUACUACUUCCCUACAACACAUCGUGAGUUCCUACAAUCAUAACUUCAAUUAUGUUCCUUCCUAUAAAUAUAUAUCAUCUAAUGCAAAUUGCAGAUUCCACUGGGUCCUUCUUCUUUUCGACCUUGAGAGAUCCAAAAUCCAUGUCUACGAUUCAAUGGAUAAACCAGAGAAAACUUUCGCACAUAUUUUCGAAGUGAUAGAUAGGUAUUAUCAUAUAUUGCACUGUCAUUAUGAAUAAUUCUACAAGUACUAUACGGAUCUCGGAUAAUAAAUUAAUCCUUCCUAACAUGUAAAUAGGGCAUGGAUUCGGUUCCGUACAUUGGUCCGCGGGAUUUGGAAUGAAAAACUCACCCGGAUGUUCAAUUUUCCGGUUAGUACAUGCUCCAAUAUUAUAUUGAAUACUUCUUUGUUCUAAAUCAGAUAUGCAUAUUUAAUCUCUCGUUGUUUCUCUUUUAGUGUGCAAAGCAAGAACAAGGGACUAACUUGUGCGGCUACUACGUCUACCAUUACAUGCACUGUUUAGCACACCAAAUCAGGACUGGCCAGGACCUCGAAGUACGUAAAAUUAUUCAUCCGUCAAUGAUUAUUUACUGGUUUCAUAUAUAUAAUCCUAUUUUUUUCCAAAUGACAGAUGAUUUACAUGAUAGAUAGCCUCACCCACGAUGAUUUCAUAAGGGCUGUUCAAGAACAGAUGAUGGGAUUCAUCAAUGAGCAGAUUAUCGAUCCCACAGGAGAAUUCUAUUACGAUGGAAAGCCUAUUCAUCAAACCGGUCCUUCUUCUUCCGAUGCCACGAAGUCGUAGUAACAGAAACAAAGAUUACAAAGUCCGAAGGAAUUGUACUGCAUGUAUAUAUUUAUAUAUGCACACAUGCAUUUACUUUUGUGUACUUGUUUUGGUAAUAUAUGUGUAUAUUUACUUACUUGCAAACUCAUAUUUUGUUAAUAUUUGCAUAUGGCCUCUAAUUACUUAAGUGCAUAAUAUUUGUAUAUACAUAUGUAUUUCUACAUAUGUAUAUAUUGACAUUUCAUAUAUAUGUGUACAUAUGUAUUUCAUAUAUAUACACACACACAUACACACACACUGAUAUAUAUAUAUAUAUAUAUUACACAUAAGCAUAAGAUUAGACCGCCGUUGUUGCCCACAUCCACCUGGACAGCCACCCUCGUCCACGUCUGUUGCGGCUGCCAUGCAUAAUCUCCCGCAUCCGCCAGGCCGCUGCCCUUCCCCGUCACUUGCGUCCUCCAGGCCACUGACCAUGCAGCUGCCGCCUUCGCUUGUUGCAACCGCCCUCACACACACCUGCCAAAUCAUCGCCCUCGCCUCAUGCAUCUGUCACCGUCCGCGUCUGCCAGGCCACCACCUUCGACCCUUGCAUCCACCACGUCUGUCGUUGUCGUCUAUCACGUUGGCAUCGAAUAAAAUAAGAGAUGGUAAUGAAAAGAAGGAAGAAAGAGAAGAGAUGGGAUGCAGAAAGAGAAUAGAUGGGAGAAGAUGGUGGGGCCUAUGAAGGUAAUAGAAUAUUUGUGUUACAGUAAACAUAAGAUAUGUUUGUUAUACAUAUUGGCAAUAAUGUUUCAUGUAGAUGACAUGGUCAUCCAUUGCAAUUAGUAGUGGGCUCUCUUAUUUAUCUUGCUCUAUUCAAAUGGUUCAUAAGUAAGGUAACAACCGAAAAGAUACAUAUGGGUCAAGUAUUGAUUUAGAUAUUGGGUAGAAAGUUAGAUUUAUAGGUAAUUUGUCCUUGGGUUUUGCCGGCAGCAUUUUCACAGGCCGUCGUAGGCAGCCACCAGUGAUAAUACAUAUUAUUGGUUGUGGUUGUUUAACGCUAACCAGCUACGAAAAUGAUGUCAUUAUCAUAAGCAGAUGUCCUAACUAGCCCCUACGGGAGCAUUUUCACAUGUGGCUACAUAAUACCGAGCUUGUUAUAAUGUCACCCACAAUUUAUUCCUGCCCGAGCCAGCUCAUUUCCAUCCCGAGUUCUCUCUAUUGUAAAAGUAAAAAAAUAGGGGGGAUUUUUAACUUGAAUUCUUUGGUGGAUCUUGGCUAUGUAAAGUUAGAUUCUUCAUAUCCUACAAUGUUUUCAAAGUUUGCUUUCAAAUUUAUGCAUUCAAUGCGGAUAAUUUUGUUGAAUUAUCUAUGCUAUCUAAGCUUCUUUAGUUAGAGCUAGAAUUUUUAAUUUGCAUAUUGGAGCUCAAAUUGGACCAAAUUUUCAAGGCAAUCUUUGUGCAAUGUUACGGUAUCACAUACACCUAGGUGGGCUGGUGCUCCUUUUUAACUCAAUCGGAAACGCCCCAAAAUGUUUGGAAACUAGCCGUGCCCCCCGCGCGAUGCGCCGACAUCAUCCAAGAUAAUCUUAAUCAUAAAAGAAAAAUCAUAAUAAUAAAAAAUAAGCAUGAUUGAAAACAACAUAGCACAUAACAGAGCUACACAAUAAUAAUAAUAAUAACUCGAUCAGAAAGAAAAUAUCACGAUGUUCUCAAUUUUGAGUGAUUUAAUUGGACCAUAAUAUUUUUUAUAUAAUCAAUGUUACACGAACAACGGGUAUCUCGGUGCAUAAUACAAUUACAUCAACAAAAAUAAAAUAAACAACAUUAGUAUUUCAAUACCUAGCAGAGUAGCAGUUCCCAGGAAGACCAAUCAGUGGGCGAUGAUUAAUUUGGAAGGAUAGUCAAACAAAACUAUGUCCACAGCACAUCACAGUUGUGCCCCCUGCGCAUUGCGCGGGCAUAUGAGGCAACCUAUAAUAACUCAAGAUCAGAAUUGGGCAUAUCACAAGAUAACAUGCAACACUGUUCCACAGUAAUAGCGCAAUAUCAAAAAGGGCAUAUAAUCUAACAAUGUUCUCAGUUUUGAAGUGAUGUAAUCAAACCAAAAGUUUUUUUAAGAGCAAUCUUACACUAACAAACAUGGAUCUCGGUACAUAGUAGACAACAUUCUUAAUUCGAUACCAGCAGAUCCUAGGAAAAACGAAUCCUUGGGCGAUGAUUAAUUUGGAAGGACAACGGACAUCACAUCAUAGAUAUGGCAGUGGCAACUCAUAUUGUAUAUGUUUUACAAUCUAUACAAAUUGGCCAUUAGCAAUAACAAAUAGAAAUUAAGGUUUACUGCUCCAUGACCCAGAACCAGUGAUUUUAUAGCCAAUUCUGGAGAUAUGAGAGUUCAGUAUUCUCGCCAGCUUGUCAUUAAUUAGCAUCGAUCUAUUUUAGCCACCAAUAAGAAAAGGAAAAUACAUCCACAUUUUAACCUUGAUGAAGAGCAUGCAUAUCCCACACUGUACAAACAACAAAGCAUAAUUUCAACAGAAUAAAACAGUUUCUAAUUUCCUAAAGCAUGCUGAGUAAUAUAGCAUCAGUAUAUAAUAGCAUGAGAAAGUUGAAAUUACCCGGACUGGCGGUCACAAAAGCAUCAGUGGAAGCCUGUAGGAAGCCAUAAACCCAUGAGCUAUAUAAAAUACGCAACAAACCACUAAAAUGCCAUCACAAUAUUCAGUUAUCGUGUUAGCUAAGGUCCAAUGUUUGCCUCAUAUUGUGGUCUCUGCCAUGCGCCCAUGCCUGAAAACGAAAAUGGAUGAAAGUGGUCACUGAGAUGCUGCCAAAUAUAAAUAUUGACCCAUGCAAAAAUAUAUGCUACAGUUUAGCCGAAUACCGGUUUAUAUGAUAAAAAAUAGAGUAGGGAAGGUCGUUUAUCAAAACAACUAAUUAAAUAAUGAUCAUGCAUAGGGAUAUAACAAUUGGACAACAAAUAAGACUUCCCAAGGAACUACCCAAAAAACUGAAAUAAUACCAGGCAAUAACAGGUAGAGAAACCCUAAAGAGCAAUUGCCAAGUAGCUGGAAGCCUUGAACUUGAAAUAUGAAAAGCAUAGGAAUUAGCAAACGAAGCCACUCAAAGAAGCAAGUACACUAUUAGAAAAUAAAAAAAGAUAAAUGAAACGAAAUAUGCCCAUGUGUUGUUGUGGAUGAUUGAAAAAUUGUAUAGAUAUAUUUGAGAUAGGAUGAUGGCACAUAAAUAUGUAGCUAGGUAUUUAAACAAAAGGAGAGGGAAACUGUGUUGCAUAUAUCUGUUUUAGUAGUAACUGAGCUACUCAUCAUAUAGUAUUGGGAUCACAUGUACCAAAACAAAAUAAAGUUACAUACCUGAGGCAAGGAAAAUAGAAUAUGCAUUUAAGCGUAUGGCAGGAUGAUAUGAAAAAUAGCUUUUAAGCAAUACUACACUACAACAGGAAGCAAGUGGAUUUGACAAACUUUGGUAGAGAUAGGACAGUACUCUUCAUCAACUUUACAUUGAAAUCAUCCAUGCAUUUCUUGGGCAUAGAACAAUGGCCAUGUAAAUUAUCAAUGGUAGAGUAAAGGAUGGUGAAAUAAAUUAAUUGGACAACAUAAUGAUAAAAGGGGAUCAGGGAGCUGACGAACCACUGUCCUGGAUUAAAAUGAAGAUAUGCAAGGAAAAUAAAUAAAAUAUUCAUUAGAUAUUGAUGCCAGACAUUAAUAUUGUUUUGGCAGUGAGAAGUGGCCAAACGGCAACAAUCGGAGGACUUCUUUUUAUUGAAAAAUCGUAUGACUUCUGGCUGGAUGGGCCUAGCCCAAACCUGAAUCAAGAUUAGGGCCUAAUCCAGAUAGAAAAUAAUGGGGAGAUCAUACCUCACUGUCCCAAGGAAGGUGACGGCAGCACAAUGGCUAGAAGAACACUUGCUCCACUCCAUAGCUUGUACCCAAACCCUAACUGACUCACAAGAUAUGUCAUCCAAAUUGACGCUGCAAAGGAUAGAAGCAAGGAUGCUGAAGAUGGAGAAGCAGAUUGAGUUAGGGCUUGGCUUGCUCUGCUCUACUCCAUACCCAUACCCUAACUACAGAUAGAUUCAUCACAAAAUAAGUCAUCCAAAUUGAUCACUGCAAAGGAUAAAAGCAAGGUUGCUGAAGAUAAGAAGCAGAUCAGGCUAGGGCUUGGCUUACCAGACUGCACAUGUUGUCAACACCGUGCAAAGAGGUGGACGAAGGCAACUAUGGCAGCGGGCGUGCACCCUUCGUCCACCUUGAGAAAUUGGCCGGUCGAGCAAGCGAAUCAAGCGGAACGGUGGCGGCGCUUGCAGGUGGCUCGCAAGAAGGCGACGACCCCGGCCGCUAGCUCCGCAAGAAGGUGGCGGCGGCGGGCUUCGCGACUCGCGAGGGGAAGAUGAAGAUUUGAGUAUUUUGGGAAGGGAGGCGCAGAGGAUGUCGAGGAUCGAGGGGAUUGGGGAAGCUAUGCCGGGCGCAGCGAUGUGCAUGUGAGGCGUGGACGGUUGGAUCAAAUCAACGCGUGGACAUCGGACGGUGCAUGCUGGGUGAUGAACUGUAGUACUGUAGCAUCUUUUCCUGGGCUGAUGCUGAUCAAAUCACUGCUAGUAGUGGGUUGUAAAAACUAAGGAUUUAAUAUGAUGUCCAUGCAUGUUUACGACCUUACCUGCAAAACAUGCUAAACCCACAAAACUCAUGCAAAUUUAUUAGUCUAAACUAAAAUGGUGUAAAUGAACUAGGAAAUCACUAGUUUAUUCACAUAUGUUUGGUAGUCGAAAUGGUAUUUAACAACAGCCAACACAUGUCAUAGGGGAGAAUAAUAUGAAAGGCUAAUAUAUGUACUGUUUAAUUGUACUUUCCAUGUGCACUUGAUCUGCAAUGUGAGUGAGAUUUGGGUGAAUAUGAUAUUUAUAUGAAGUAGUUAUCAAUUUACCCCUUAUUGUCUCAAAAUUAAUCACUAACAUGUGAGCACAAUGAUCACGGGAAGAACUCACGUGGAGAUAUGAAGGAAAAAUAAUUAAAACCAACUCUUUUAGAAACAAAAUACUCACUUAAUUAGAUAUGUGUCGAGCGGCUAUUCCUGAUUAUAAACCUUGACCUCCGCUUGCUACACUCACGACUCUAGUUGACCCGAUCUUUCGGUGAGUUCAUGAUAACUACGUUUUGGGAAAAACAUUGACGAUUCAACUACAACUGUAUAAAACGUUGUUGUGUUGCGUCUUAGCGAUCGAUAAACCUCUUCAUGUGCUGUUGAUCUUGUCAGUUCAGAUCAACCUUAUUCCUACAAGCAAAUUGAAGAAAUAAGCAAGAAAAAGAUAAAAGCAAUCUAUUAUUGCAAAUAGCAAUCAAAUAAAAAUGGUAAGCUAAGGUUCUGAAGAAGAGUAAUUAGGUGGUCUGGCCAACACACGUAACUACAAGGUAAAGUAGCAAUGGCUAAAACUUUAAUCUAACAAAACUCGAGAAACCCUGAAGGGGUACAUAGUUAUUUAAAGAGGUGGGAGGAUGACCAAGGGGUCCCAAGGAUUGUGCUCCACCAGGUUGGAGCGCAUCCCACAUGGGCCCCACUUGGGUUGGGUCCCAAAUGAAGGUAUAAGCCCAAAUGCCCAAGACAGGUGGCACAACACCUUGUUUCUUCAAUUGCGGAUGACUGAGAUGGAAUUUGGCAAUGAGGCUGGAUCUGUUGGAAAGAGGAUUCCGAGCUAGAGCUUUUCAUCAGGUACUGAUGGCUCACAACGGAGCUUGUAUGCACAUUUGGCUACCGUUUGAAGUCAGCACUAUAACAGAUUGCCGGAUUGGAUUCCAGCACUUGGGCAGCUUGAUCUUGAUAUCUUCUUUUUUAUGCAUGAUGUGAACAAUGGUUGUAUUUGUGGUAGUCAUGGUCACAUCAUCCUCCCCUUCUUCAUGUUAAACCGUCUUCGGUUUUUCCAUAUGGUGCUUGUCGCGUAGUGCAUGAUCUUUCCCAUAGAAAUGUCUACAUGAAACAUACGCAACAAACUUUCAUUAUGUAUUAUCAUCAGUUCUUUAGCAAACAAAUUUAAUAUCCAAUGAAACAAAUGUACCUGAUAUGGAUGCACAACAGAUAACAUGGAUAGCACAUUUGAAUGUUUCACUUGCUGCUCAUUUUGCUCUCCCCUUCUUCAAAAGCCAAGUAAUGACAUGAUACUUUUUCAAUGGCAUAAGUUCAACCCACAUCUACAGGAGGAUUUUGAUUAGUUGCAGCACCAUUUAAUUUUCCUUUGAUGAUUUCUUCAGAUGAUGGAAGUGCAUCGAAUUUGAGUAUGAACAAUGGAAUGGCGGCUCAUUCAUGUCUCUCUCCUCCUUUUCAUGAUUAUACACUUCCUGCAAAUGGUUAGUAAUAGGAGGCAAAAAUAUAGCAUGUUUCUUUUUUAUGUCCUUCUCUAUUUUACUUUCAAUAUUGCAAGUAGGGUGUAACAAAUGAGAAAGAGAUCUAUAUCUUUGAGAAGAAAGCAUGUCCUAAAUUUCUUUGUUAAGCCCGAAUAAAAAACCUCAGUUCUGUCGCUUAUUCGCAUUCAUAUAAACCACAGCGUAAUAAACAAGCAUUCAUUUCAUGAUAGUAUGAAACAACAGAUAUGUUAUCUUGUUUUAAGUAUUGCAGUUUGUUGAGCAGAAUGACAGUAUAAUAUAUGAGAACAUAGACAUCUCUCAAAUAUCGUUCAAAGUCUUUCCAAGAUUGUGGUUUUUUUUAUGGCUACAAAGAUAUUUCCAAUCAGAAUAAGCAUUUUUAACUAAAACACUAUAGGCACACAUAACCAUAUGUUUCUCAGACAAGUUAUGCUUUUGAAAUUCUCUAUCAACCGCUAAUUCCCUCAGGGCCUUAAGCUAUAGAGGAUAUCGAAAGAUGACAUUAGAUGGGUCACCAGACAAGCAAGAAAUCAAAUCACCGGACAUCUACAUUUGAAGGAGCUGACCUGCGGGCCAUAGACGUGGUUGGAGGCGAUGAACUUGUCGACAUUAGUGUCGUACCACUUUUUUUUGGGGGGGAGGGGGGGUUGUCCCGGGCGUACACCUUCUUGAAGUAACCGAAGUUGUGCGCCUUCACGCCCUCAAAGUGCUCACCAAUCCCCAUCGCUGUUGUCGUUGUCGCCGCCGCAUUUGGAUCGUUUCGACGGUGAGGUGUGGUGGUAUCAUGUGGCGUUCGGUUUCGCUUCUACUUGGACAAAUUGAAAUUGAAAUUACCUCAAAGCAAUUCUCUUUUUUUGGGAGAUUUAAUUAUAAUUAAAUGUUAACUACUGAAGUAAACAUCAACUGAACUAGUCUGCCAUUGCGAACGCUCACGAGUGCAAUCGAAUCCCAGGUUUCGCUUCUACUUGGACAAGGAUGAGGAAGAGUAAGUGGGCAACAAGCCAACAGGAUGAGCCCCGCCGCACGCAGAACCGGCCGUUGAAGAUUCGCGGAAGCCCAUACCAGACCACCGUCGGGGACCCGACGGGCCCUUUUCAUCGAGACAGCAGCGGAGGCAAGUGAGGAUGGAGGCACAAGGCGACAGGGCAGACGUGGGAUGGAAGAUGUCGUACUUUCACCGGUCGAUGGGAGACAGCGGUUGCGUCGAUUUGGCGAGGAGCCGCCUAGCGGCUGUCUAUUUUUGGCCGAAUGUCGCGAAAGAGAAGAAACGGAGAAACAUGCUGCAUAUACACUUCCUCCCCCACCCACCCACCCACCCAAACAAGUGAUAACUUACUAAUACUAAACACAUUUACAGUCACAACUCACAAGUCAUAACUUGCAUCUUACUAAUACUACUACUUCAUAAGUUCACGUUUGCAAUUUUAAAUGUGGAUGGAGGUUCGUGGGCAAAUAGAGAACAUCUCACAUUCCGUGGAGAAGGCAACCAAUCGAUCAUUGGCCCAAUCGAGAAAAUCGUUACAUAGUUACAUCUGCCGGCCACUGUUAUGUACAUUCAUUCCGUUAAGAAUCACCUAAUGUUGUGCGGACUCUCCCUAGCAAAUGAAUAUGAUGCAGCCCCUCGUAUUGACAACCUGCGGUAUAGAGAUCAACCCGUGCAUAAUAACUAGUCCUACAAAUCACAGAUUAAAAAUUAUAUAUAUAGCUACAAAUGGAGCAAAUCUAGAUAGAGCCGCAUAAUUCCAUGUGUGCAGUGUUGCUAUUUAUAUUUGAAGAUCAUCCAGCGUCAGUUCAUCGACUGACAUCAUCUUCAGUUUCUGCAGGCAGUAGCAAUAUCUUGAAAAGCUAUGCAGUCGAGCUUUCAGGAUGAGAUUAGAAACAAUAUAAAGUACUUACCGUGAUGAACUGGGGAGGAUCAUCCAGACUAGAUGAACCAAGUAUGACUUCCCGCUUUAGCUUGGAUGUAAGCUUGUGCACAGCACGUAACUGCAGAUAUAUAUUACCGGUUAAACCUUGCUUUUUUUUUUAACGAGGUUAAACCUUCCAAAUUGGAAAUUCUUGUAACAAAUGAUGAAUAUCCAAAUUACGAAAGCAAAAUAAAUCUCAAAGCUACAACUUAAAAGAGGAGAGGCAUGCAAUUAAUAAUAUACCUCCGACCGAGUGGCGCCACCAAUGACAAACACAAAUAUACGCUGACCAAGCUUUUUGAAGUCACUCGACGAAUGCUUCAGCACUGAAUCACUGCAAAUUUUCCAUAUACUAGUUAUAUGCCCGUGAAGGAAGACAAACAGUGGUUAUGUACACAAAUGCAAACGGUGUGGAAUAGCUUCUCUUGUUCCAAAAAAACGUGAUUUUGUUAUGGAGAUUAGUACGGUAUCACUGACAUUACAUUGUACCACAUCAAGAUGAUUAGGAGAGUUUACCUUCCUAACGUAAAUAAUAUGUAUUGCCUAAAUAUUAUUUAGUGUCCUAAAAUAGAGAUAAGUUAUUUGAUAUCAUACCUAAUACCUCCAUCCCACAGGCUUAAUUUCAAGCUAUGAACUUGGACAAAUACUUAUCCAAGCGCAUAGCUAGAAAUGAAGUCCUUUUAGCACAGAGGUAGUAGUGGUUAGAAAGUUAUCGAUAGUUAGGGAUUAGAGAUCAGGUUUGCUAGGAAGUAGAGAUUGUAUUCUUUCGGGACAAGUUGUUCAUGUGGAUAGUAUCCGUGGUACUAUAGCAUGAUUGCACGAGGACCCUCACUAUAUAAGGGACACAUGUACUGAUGUACCCCAUUAUAAUCAAGCAAUACAAAAUAAAAAUGUUAGGUCUAGCUUGAUCUGAAUCUCCUAGCAAUCAGGACAAGCUUGGCGUCAAUAAGAGUGAUGUCGUCUUUAUCCCGAUCUCCAGACCCUUACCCUAUCCAUGAAUCGACAUGCGUAACACGUUUUCCCUUAUCGAUAACGACUAUCUCGGGAACACAAAACACAGACAACGAAGAGUCUCUACCACUGACCUUGAAUACCCAUCAUCAGAGCCACGUGGCCGAGCCCAUGUACCACCUGUCCGUCUGGAUCUCAUAGAAUGAGCUGGUUGGUGAGCUGGGCUAGUUCUGACUGAGCUGCUCAUUGGCAGACCGUGGAAACUUGGGCUAGGGUCGUUCAUGCAAUAGUAUUCGUCUUUUGGUAAUUCUCCCUUGCUAAGCUUCUCAAUCAAGUCCUGUAUAAAAGGUACAAGUUAACUAUCGUAUAUUUUAGUCAAAUGAAGGCAAAACAAAAUAUAUGCAUUAGUACAUCCUCGCUUUGGAGACUAUGCCAAUAUCCAAGAUGCCUAUUAUUUGUGACUUAAUGCAUCUUGUUAGGGGCAUCAUUAAGUAUCAUCGACAGAGACCAGAUGAUUUCCCUAGUUGUCAAAGUUAUAUUUCAGAGACUAUGGCAAUAUCCAGGGUAAAUAUAUGGUGGAAACCCCAACUUAGGUGAAAACCCAUGUAAACCUCAACCAAAAGGUCAUCUGAAUUCAACAAAAAAGAACCACACAUGUAGAUGAGAUGAUACUACACAACCAUGUAAAAAAUCUUGUCCAAACGAAGUCAAGUUUGGACAAGAUAUUUUACAUGGUUGUGUAGAAUUCUCAUCUACAUGUGUGAUUCUUUUGGUAGAUUUAGAUGACAUUUUGGUCAAUGUUUACACCCAGAAAGUUAAUAAUGAGAUCAUCAUUUCAGGAAAUGAUACGGAACUACAUAGUGAUAUUGAUCCGGAAGAAGCUCAACAGGCACUUGAAAUAGCCGAAGCUAACAUGAGUAGAACUGAGGGUACGAAAGAAUUGGUUGAAGCGAAGCUAGCUCCCAGACGAACUAGGAUACGAGUCAAGGCUGUUAAUUGGAUUCCCCCAUCUAAUUGAAGACAACCCAACGGUUUAGUUGAUACAAAGAAAAAGGGAAGAGGGUAGCGAAGCGAAGUAGGUCCAAAGCUAUCUAGUAAUUUUUCUACCUACCUACCUACCUACCUACUAUUGGAUUUGAAUCAAUGACUCAAUUCAAGCAAUACUUCAACCACUGAGUUAAGCACGCAAGAGUUUUCACCUAAGUAGAGUUUCCACCACAUAUUUACCCCAAUAUCCAAGACUUCUUAUUUGUGACUACAGGUAUCUUGUCAGGCGCAUCCUUUCUGAAAAGUACUAAUCAGACAUGAUCAUUCCUACAAGUAAUAUCAAAGCCAUUCUCCUUAUAUGUAUGUCUAGCUUCCCUGGUGCAAUCACUGCAAUCCUGGUCGUGCCUUCAGGAUGCACCACCAGGGUCACAGGGAACGACAGCCCAUACAGAAAUUCUAUCCACACCAAAAUUUAUACGGAGAGGAAAAUAUCGAUGAAAACUAUUCAAAAAAAAUUGCAGAUAUCACUAUAAUAUUGCUCUAAUAUAUUUAUACCUCUAGAACAGGAUAAAAUCGGGAAAGUGCCCAUGUAGAUUCUUCCCCAGUUCGCUCCUUUCUAAGUCCAUGCUUCUUCUGUUAUCAGUAGGAAUCAAUUAAUACAUCAUGAGAUCAGGUUGGUAGCAGAUAAAUGUUCAGAAAGAACCAAAAAGAAAGCAAUAUUUCGUUUACCUUGUGAACAUCAAAUUUAAACGUAAAACCUCCUCCCGAGGACUUUUUGGUGUCAGGGCCACAUAAGCAACGCAUAUUACUCACAGCAAUCAUGUCAUCAGUGGAUAAUCCUGCCAACUGUUAGCAAGCGAAAUUUCUUACUGAUUCCUGGCCAAGCAUAUACUCAAAUCCAAAUAAUGUCCAAAAUGGGCUCCUAUCAACAAUUCUGCACAGUUGCUUUACGAAUUACUCCCUCCAUUCGAAAUUGAUCUACAUAUAAUUUUUUUGAGGUUAUUCCUAAAUGAUCUACAUAUUUGUGUUCAUUUAUUAAGUCUAUUCGUUAUUUGUGCAUUGGAGUAAAUGGACAUUGAUGCAUGAAUCCAUGCACACAAGUAUUUAUAACCCACAUGCAAUAUCUUGAUUUGCUAUUGGCUAGGAAAUAGUGGGGAUGGUGCAUGCAUUGAGUUUGUUGCUAGAGUAAAUAUAGUAUGAGAGAGUUAUUAGCUUUUCUUGGUCUUGGUGUACCUAUGAAAUAUGUAGAUCAAUUUGGAAUGGAGGGAGUAAAACACUAUGUCAUAUUGUUCACCUGUGUUACACCAGAUAUUUAAUGCCAGCAUAGAAGUCACGCUUAUCCAAUAUGAAAAGAAACUGCAUGUUUCAUUCAUGCACGUUUCAUGUAUUCAAUUAUUAUCGCAUUGAUGAUAGAGAGUAAAGGGUAGACAUACUUGGUGAUAUUUCAUGAAAAGAAAAUUUACAAUAAAGCAAAAGGGAAACAGUGGAAGGUGAAAAACAACAACUUAUCUAGCCAAAAAGUUGCACAGAAAAGUAUACAGAUUAAGCAUAAAACAUCUUGGGUUUGUUGAGUACGAAUAGAAAAACAGAAAAUUUUACCUGCAUCAAUUUUUCACCCUUGUCACUUUCGAACUUGUCUGGGUUGAUUGCUGCAUAGAUCAUCAGCAAACGCAACUUGUUUUCACGACUUACACCCUGCAUUAAGUAGAGUAAACAAUGUCAUUAUUAAGUCAGUAAUAUCAAAACACAAUGUUGAAGAACAACCAAUGUCAUUCUAAAAAGUAAUUCAAAUAUUAAAUACCAAUUGUGUCCUCAAAAAAUUGAUUAAUUCUUUAGUUCCAGCAUCACCAAAUACAAGAUCUUGCUCUAGCUGUCCAACAUCUCGAAGACCUUGCUCCCUUAUUAUGCUAUUGAGUUUACCUGCAAUCUGUACAAAACUGAGUAAUACAAAUAGAAUGUCCAACUAUUUGAUUUAUGCUUCACAUAGUAAACAAAAAUAGAAUACUCAUGAUAUGUGAGGCAAUUAAUAAUUAAAAAAAAUAGCUCAAAAGCAAUUCAGUCAAUCACAGAAUAAACACAGCAGCUUAUUUAAAGUUUUUAAUAGCUUGGAGCAAGCAAAAAUAUAUAGGUACCAUCCUUCUGGCCAUGCCAUUGUGGCUCACAUUGCAAGCACCACAGAUAAUACUGCUGUGCCAGAACUGUUGCACCAGCAACAGUUGUUUGCACGCCAGCCACAGUCAACCCAUUGCAAUGGUAUGCCUGUGGAUGUGUCCCGCGAGAUAAUAUGGUAAAUAUGGUAACAGCUUGCGUUUAGUAACAGUCAUGCCAUCACAGUUGUUACUGUGUACUACAUCCUAAAUAAUGUGUUUCGCAAGGGGCCUCAUCUUUUCGCUUAUGCUCAUCAGCUAAAAUUUGAAUUUUCAACCUUAAAUUUGAAGCUGAUUUUGAGGUUUUUUCGUCGAAGUUUAUUUUUCAGCCUCUCGCUAAGAACACGUAUAUAAAAUUUUUAUUCACAAAUUACUUUUCGUUUGCAAAUAUGCCGUGAAACAAUGGCUCCGAAGAUGUUUUACAGCACAGAAAUAGUCGUGUUACAGAUUCAUAACAGCAUUGCAUUGCCUCUACACAUGGUAGAGGGGUGAGAAAACCUAGGGAAUCAGCACAUAGGAUGACCUAAGGUGGAUUGUGAAGAGUUUACUUUAACUGAGGUGGGUCCAUGGGAGGUGGGUUAGGGCACACUCGGGAGGGAGGUGGGGUGUAGUGCUUUUCUUUUCUUUUCUUUUUCUUUUUUGGGUGAUCAUAUUAAUAAUUUUAUUGUCUAAAACCAAUUUGAAAACCUUAUAAAACAAAUAGACACUUAAGGCAGGGAAAUUAAAAAAUACCAUAAAAAACUAUCUGAUGUAUGACCCUCUUUAUUUUGUUAUUUAAUCAUUUUGACUCAUGCAAAUAUCUACCUUCCAGUAAAUCUUUUAAACUUUUAGGAAGACAUCUCUAAUCUACACCCCUCCUAUAGAAUAACUAUUCUACACCCCCCACCCCCUCCCCUUCCCACUCAGCCCGCACCUCCCUUCCGUUCUCCCGCGCGCCCACACUUCCUCCACGCUCCACCCCCCCCCCCCCUUCCCCCUCUCGCUCCCUCCUCCCGACGGCCCCCUCCUCACCCUCCGGUUUUUCUCCUCCCUCCCUCCUCCCGGCGCCCCCCGCCCCUCUGCCUCCCUCCGAUUUUUUCUCCUCCCUCCUCCCGAAGCCUCCUCCUCCGCCUCCCUCUGUUUUUUUCUCCUCCCUCCUGGUUUUUCACUUAUGCGCCUCCCUCCUCCCGGCACCCCCUCCUCUCUCCUCCUCUGCCUCCCUCCGGUUUUUUCUCCUCCCUCCUGGUUUUUCACUUCUGCGCGCCCCCUCCUUUCUCUCCCUCCGGUUUUUCUCUUCUUUUCCCGAUCUCUCUAAUCUCCCUCUGGUUUUUUCCUCUCAAGAAAUCUCCUCCCUCCCUUCUAUGCAAAAAUGAAAAAUAAUAUUGUUGAGAACAAGAUUUGAACUCAUGACCUCAUAAUCCCUACGUUGUUGCCCUAACCAAUAGGACUUGUAAGAUUUUGUGAUUGAGUAAUACUUUCUAUUUGUUUUGUACCUUCUUUCAAAUCAAGAAUUAGGAACCCAACCCUAAUCAUUUUCAUUACCACAAUAGGGGUUGUAGUAAGAAAUCAACUAUGUUACUGCAAAAGUUAUUGAUCGUUACUAUGUUCCCGUAGUAACAUCAUUAUGGAAUUGUAGUAACAAGACAUGUUACUACGAAACUUAUAGGUUGUUAGUAGACUUUUUGCGGUAACAUCGGGAUAGAAUGGCAGUUACACUGAACAAUGUGGCAACAAUAUUUCUGUAGUACUGCUUUGUUUAGAGAAAAAAACUUUAAAAGUUUCAAUCUUUAGAGAGCAAUAUUACUCGCAUCAUAUCUUGUUUUUCUAAUCCGUUUGCACCAUGAUGUUCAUAAAAAAGUGCUUAACGAACCUAGAUCCAUCAUGACUAUAUUUUAACGUCGUUACUAUAGAAAGCAGCCAUGAUACUACACAUUGACCAUCACGUUACUACAAUGUUCCUGCGACACAAACCAAAAAGGGGUGGGUGUGGGGGGAGGUCUCUCAUGGGCCAACCCACCUCCCCCUCCCUAGGGCCCAAAACCCACCUCCCACUUCGGUCAAAGAACGGUCAAAGCCCCCUCCCACCGGUCAAACCCGCCUGCUACCUCCCCCCACGCCCACCUCUUUUCAAUUCUCGUCUCUCAAGAAUGGCGUAGUAACGCGAUGGUCAAUGUGUAGUAAGUUGAGUGCUUUCCGCAGUAACAAUGUCAAAAAAUAGUCAUGAUGGAUUGGUGCAAACAGAUUAGAAAAACUAGAUAUGAUGUGAGAGAUAUUGCUCUCUAAAAGAUUGAGAUUUACCUCUUUUCAGUUCUCGUCUCGCUGGAACGGCGUAGUAACACGCUUGUCAAAUGUGUGGUAACACGAUUGCUUUCCGCAAUAACGAUGUUAAAAGUUAGUCAUGAUGGAUGUAGUUUCGUUAAGCACUUUUUUACGAACGUCAUGAUGCAAACGGAUUAGAAAAACAAGAUAUGAUGUGAGAGAUAUUGCUCUCUAAAGAUGAGAUCUAAAAGGUUUUAGCUCUACAAAAGCACUAGUACUAUAGCUCCAUAGUUACUAUUACAUGUUCUCUGUUCCUGUAAUUUUCAUCAUGAUGUUACCGCCAAGAGUGCAGUAACCCAUAAAUUUUGCAGUAAAUUAUCAUGUUACUACCCUUCUAUGAUAAUGUUACUACCGAAUCAUAGUAACAAGGUAUGGUUCCUACAGUAACAUAACUGAUUUUGUUCACACAAUUUGAACAGACAUUCAACGCAAGCAAACAAUGAUCUCUAAUCACAUAGCUCAUAGGGUGAAUCGUUUAUGAGAGCUUGCCACGAACCAUGAGAUCAAAUUUAUUUUUAAUUUUUCUAGGUUAAGCCAGUUUCCUUGAGAGAAAAAAUCGGAUGAGGGAGGGAGGAGCGCUGAUACAGGAGAAGAGAAAAAAAAAGAGAAAAAUAAGGAGGCAGAGGAGGGCGAUAUGGGAGGAGAAAAAAAGAGAGAAAAAUAAGGAGGGAGAAGAGGGCGCCGAUAGAGGGGGAUGGAGGAGGGAGAUCAGGAGGGGGGAGCGAAAAAAGAGGAAGAGAGAGAAACGCACGGAGGGAGGAGGGAGGGCAGGGUGCACGAGUUCAAGGGAGGGAGCGCGGGGGUGGGGAAGAGGAGCGGGCUGGUAUGAAGAGGAGGGAGUGGGCCAGGAUAAGCGAGGGUGUAGAUUAGUGUGUGUGACAAUUGGUAUAUAUACCAGUUGUUUUAUUCAUGAACCAAGGUGUGGACAUCCUAAUCAGUGGAAAAUCCAAAAACCAGUCCAAAUUAUGAAAUAUGUAUGUUAAAGAAGGGCCACUUUCAUCAAUUUUUUGUGCUGCUAUUAGAAUGCAAAUUUUUAAAGAAGAUGAGGUGUUUAGAAAAAUUAAUAAAUUAUGUGCUUGAUUAAUCUGGAACCUUAAGAAUGCCUUAUUCUAAUCAAAUAUGCAUUGAAUAGCAUGUGCCCUUUUUUACUGGUGAAGAAAAAGUUGACAUUCCAUGGUUUGACACUAACAAAAUUAGAUGAAAUUUGCAAAGUAUAAGGCAGAGAUUUUAACUUCACCAUUUUGGAAUAACAUGAGCAGACAAACAAUUCUUGAGAAGGAAAAUAGUGAAAAAGUAGGGAAUUUUUUAAGCUAAACAAAGAAAAUAUAACCAACCUCAACAUGAAGAGAAAGCUUCUCAAUUUGAUCGCUGUACUGUGGAAGAGCUUGAACCAUUUUUUGCAAAUCUCUAUUGGAUAUCUCUCCCCCAGUUCUGGUAAUUUAAACAUGAAGCAAUGACCAUUAAAAUAAUAAGUCAAGAACAUUACAAACAAAAUGGACUCAUGCAACUCAACAUACAUGUCCAAAUAAAUAUAUAGAAAACUUUAUGAAUUUUUUUCUGGCAUUCACUUUCCUAAAGAAACCACUCAUCCAUUAACAUAUUUGUGUUUCAGGGUUAACUCAAAAAUUGUGCAGCUAUACACAGCUAUGCAGAUCAUGUUGUAUCUACAGUAGUUCUCCCUCCAUUCCCAAUUGAUAGCUGCAUCAGGUUUGUGCAGCGAUACCAAGGGAGAAAUAAAUCAAGCAGUAAUUAGCAGCGAUACUGGUUCGGUGGCCCACACAUGGCGCAUGACCAUUCAACUUUUGAUGGUAGAUUUAACUAAUCUUGAGAUAAUCACUCAGCAUGCAUGCAUGUGAUAAAAAAAGGAGGGGAUUUAACUAAUUUCCAGAAAAUCUCUUCACAUUAAAUCCACGCAUACAUGCACCAGAUAAACAAGGAAAUCCACUGGCUCCCAAUGUUGUGCGACAAUCAAACCAGAUUUUUUUUCGUUUCAGUAAUAUGAUGAUCAAUUAGGAAUGGAGGGAGCAUUUAAGAAACAGCACAGUCAACUCAGAAGGGUUGCGUUACAACUAACUUUUGUACAUAUAUAAAUCAGUAAUCAACCUAACACAUUUUGGACCUUUUAGUUUCAUUAGCUUACAGUGUGUACUGGUGUAAGAUUAUGAUUUCUCAAAAUGACAUACCCACCAAUUUUAUGAUAUUUUCUUCUAAGCUCCAUUGUGAUGCAUGAGUAUUUUGCUAAUUGUUUAUAACAACGAAUGGUCAAAAAUCACAACAGAGCAAUUUCCCUACUUGGUUGAAACAAUGCACAGACCUUGCUUGCUGCAGUUGAGCAGCUUUAUUCUUGGACACAAAAUUGCUCAUCUUGUCAUGCAGUCUUUCGCUUGCCUGAAAGUAUGAUGGUUAAUUAUAAAGCUAUCAAACACAUGAAUCGCAAAGAAAGGUACUGAGGAGUAAUCUCACAUCUGCUAUGUGGGCAUGCCGGAGCUCAACCCAUAUUGGAUCAUGAUCCUCCAAUAGGACAUCCUUCUUUUCAGUUGAUGAACCAUUUUUACUCGGAACCUUUUCUUUCAGUCACACAUAAGAAUGGAAUAACCAUCAAAUGAAACAACAGGGAAGAAUGUUACAUAAAAAUAUAUAAAAAAAGAAACUCUCUCACCUCAUGGACAUACUUGUUGCCAUCCAUACAUAGAAGAUCAUGGCACAUCGCGUCAUAUGUCCAUUCAUGAAUGAUUGGUGCAAUCUAUGGUGCCAAAGAAAUUAUGAAGCAGCAGCAUAUAUAGACCAUGCUCAAUGUAGCACUAGGAUAGAUGUCAAAACUGCGUAUACAGGUAUGUUUACAAUGUACCUGGUCUACUGAACGAUCAACUAUAAGUAGCUCACAUGUCUCAGUUUGAGGAUAAUCCGGUAUUGAUGUUUUCAAUUUUGAAAGGCAAUUCCAAACAGCAGCAGCAAGUUUUGUAGGCACUAAAUCUCGUAGUGUUGUCGUUACAGAAGCAUCAAUUGUCUUGGCGACACGGUAGUGCACUCUAGGGAAUUCCUGUAAUUUGUUGAACAAUACAUAAAAAAAGUGAAUUGUUACCUAAUAGUUACUCUAGAACGACAUGUGCACAUCAAGCACCAAAAGUUAUUCAUUGUAUGUCCAUGGAAAGUAAAUGUAUUAUGUAUACAGAAAUAACCCAAUAUGUGGAGCAGAACAUCAGUUGAGCAUCAAAAUCUUUUGGUAUUGCCCACCUUCUUUUCCAGUACUCACUAGGGAUACAAACAGGUCAGGUCAAGGGCCAACCAAAUUGAGGCAUUGACCUUUGCUAGUUCUUUUUCUUCAGAAACAGCUCAAGGGCAUCUAUGGGGGCACAUUUAGGACUAUCGUACUGCAUACUAAGGUAAAAAAAACCCAAUUAAGUGGUAAGUGAGCCAUCAAUAAGUAUGGGCUAAUGGGCCAGACCACUGGCAUCCCUAAUUUUUUCACUUGCAACUGCAUCAUUUAUCAUCUGAAAAAAAUGCUGUCUGAUUAUACCAGGAGUUCACUUCCUACAGAGAUAGUUCCUUUUUGUCAUACAAAUCACCUACUUUAGUGUUGAUGAAUGUAGGCCAGGUCAGGUCAAGAUGAUGACCUACCGGAACUGCAUAGCAUAGUGCCAACUGUCAACUGUCAACCACAGUGCAUCUCCGACAUUGGAUCUGCAGGCAAUUUAUAUAACAAUCUAGGAGGGAUGUGUUGAGCUCUGCCUCUGCAUUCUUAUUGCAGUCUUUGCUCCUCACGCUCUCCUCUUCUUCAUUGUCCCACAUAAUAAUUAAAUAUUCCCUCCAUCCCAAAAUAUAGGAAAGUAGCUAUAUUUUGGGACAGAGGGAGUACAUAGAACCACCUUUUUUUUUGGGGGGGGGGGGGGGAGGGGGGGGUUUACUUCUUGUGACAUGGAUACUACUGGUUUAUUGUUUUGACAAGAAUUAUGUGUGCUUGUGUAAUAAAAUAGUAAGUACCCACAAACCAAAUGCUUAUUGUUUUAGGCCACUAAAUAGGCUGAGAUUACACCAUGACUAUGAACAAAAGGAAGUUAGCAGAAAUUACAUAACAGAGGUUUCAGGUGCUGGCUGAAGAGUCCAGGAUGUGGGUAUAGCGGACAGCAUAUGAGAAGUGGGAUCAAACCAACAGGGGGAAACACAGGAGGAAUUCAAGAGAUCUUCGCUCCCUGUGAUAUGGGCCUUACAGAUAGAGGGUCUAGAGGCCGUAUUAUGUAUUAUAGUUAAGAAGGUUAUUAGUUAGCUAGGAAGUUGGACAUAGUUUGUUAGGAAGGGUCAGGGUAUUUCCAAUGCAAUAAUAAAACUAACAAUCUUGUUUCUGUAAGCUGCCACAUCAUUGUUUUUGCUUAGGAGAGGGAGAGGAGAUAGAAACAAGAAACAAUUAGAUAGAAAUGAACAUUACUGAGAAGUCGUAUCUAUCGUCAAUUAGGAAUUCCAUGCAGCAAUUAAUGCUUGUGGGGCCUUGUGAACAUACCAUGCAUUCUAAGGGCUAUUACUACUGUUGUUUACAUAUGUCAUUUCUGUAUUUGGAAUGUCCUUAAGUUAAUCCUAUCGAUAAAAGGACACCACAUACCCCAUUAUGAAACAAGCAAUCAAUCUAUAUGGUUAGUCCAGUAAGCCUAAGAGUCACUAUCACAACAAGUGAAGCCCUGCCAGCACUAGUAGAGGGAAAGGCCUUAUCCCAUCAGUCUUUGGACCAGUUUCACAUUUCGUGGGACAAACCAAAGGGCAAUCCUGCCCCACAUAUAUCCCUAACUUCAUGCGAUCAUCAUAAAGCACUUUGUUUAGAACUUUAGAUCUAAAGCACCCUAUUUUUCAGACCUAAAACACUUUGGUUUGCAUUAAAUCAGGAUAUAUUAACAGGAAACACAAAAAAAAUGUGCAACAGCAUCUUUCACAAAUAAGAAAUGUAUUCAUACCCUCAUUGAUGCAAACACUGUAGAUAUGCGAGUAGCCAUUGUGUUCAAACAAGCAUUGUACUUGUGUGAAUCCAAAGCAUUUUCACUAAAAAGCUCCUCCAAUGCUCUUUCAUGGUCAGUGGUGAAACCCUGCAUGCAAUCACUAGCAAUAUAACGUACCAGAGAAAAGGGAUUACCAUGUAAUGGUUGGUACUUUGACUAGCAUCUAUGUCCUCUCUAUAAGAUAAUAAAUAUGGUAUCAUCAUUCAAGUAGCACGAUAAAAUUUACCGUUUACACUAACUUGUAACAGUAUUAGAUAUAAUUAGAAAAUAGGUUACCAGUUGACAGGCAAAAUUUCUAAAGUUGGUUAUUUAUCAUUGCAACUACCAGCAACCAACCAAAAUGACCAGAAUCAAAUCUUAGAGAAUUUCCAAUAAUCCUAGCUGUGUAUCAUGGAAGUAUUGAAAUUUACAUUAAAGGCAAUUCAAACCAUUCUUGUCACUGCCAAUGAUUGGGUUUUUCCCACGUUGCUCAUAUCAUUCGCUCAUAAGGCGUAUCUAUUGGGUCCCUUUUUCUCCUGACCAAGCCAGCUGGCUUCUUUCAAACAAAAAAGGAUCCAGCUGAUUUGCAGAAAUAGGAAAUGAACUCCUAAAAUCAUGCACUUGUUUAGGGAGGUCCACGAUUUAAGAUAGCCUAUUGUAAAUGUGCUUCCAAGAAAUUCAGAAAUAUGCUUUAAAAUUUAAUAUGUACAGUUAGGGCUUAUGUAAAAGUCAAACAGCAAAAAAAAAUUAAUAUAUGUUCUGUAUAGAAAUUAUUUUUGAGAAAUUUUUUUGGUGGCAGUUCAAAACCAGCUUAACAGAGCUGGCAAAAUGACUAAACCAGAGGCAAAAGGACCCUAGAUGUGGGAUCCACAAGCAAGAAUGAUCGAAUAUAAGCAAAGUGGCAAAAUCAGUUCAGAUAUCUUUGGAGUGAAAUCAAUGCCAUUACAUUCUUGGGAGUGGCAUUUUUUCAAAAUGGCAAAUUUCAAGUGGUAUGAACCCGAAAAGCCCAAAAUGGGAACAAAAACUCAGAAAAAUAUUUAGUUAUCAUGGAUCUGUUUACAGUAUAACAUUGUUUUCAAGUUCUUUAAACCGAAAAAUAUAUUAGGUCAAAAGGAAAAUGACGAUGUGUUUGUGAGCUAUCCUAUAUUAUUAACCAAAUAACACCAAAUGCUUCUCCUUUUUUAAUUGCAUGAGAACUUCUCAAGUUGUAGAGCAAAGUAUCAGGGCUCAAUUGCUCAAAUACUCAAUCCUAUGCGUAAAUCAUGGAUGAACAAAACAAUUCCUAUAAAAAAUUGCAUGAAAUUAUUUAUGCUUCAAGAAUAUAUGUAACAGAUACAAACUAUAAAUGAAACACUGAAAUUUCCGCAAGAAAAAAAAACAGAUGUGCCAUGAUACCUGGGAAUCAAUAGCAAAGUACUCCAAAUUCAUCUGGAAUACAACGAAAAAUAAAAUGUGAAUAAAUAGUUAGCAUAACAGUCUUUUAUAUUUAAAACAUUCUGGAAUAAAAUAUAAGAGGAUAGCAUAAUCCAAGUAACCUCACUAAGUGCACCAAUACGGGGUAGUACACUUGAAUCUUUUUUUAUUUGAGUAACUAAUUCUUUCUGUAUGGGAGAACUGAAAAACACAUACGCCCUACAACAUGAUCAACAAUCUAUCAGUGAAAGAAACAGAAUAGAGAUUGUACAUAAGAGGAGAUUCAAGUGGCGGUUUAUGUUAAUUCAGACAUACUUCUUGUAUAACGGAUUUCUUCCGGACAUGUCAUUCAGGAACAUCCCAAUGCUGCAACAUGAUGAUUAAAAAUCAAACAAGUGUAAUGUGUGAAAAAGUUGGAAAACGAACUACAAGCACUACUGACAAGUAAAUAGAUUAUGGCUGUGUUCGGCAAUGGCAGUCAGGAACUAAUCCCUUGUGCAUGCAAAACGGAGUGAAUUAUUAGCGUAUGAUUAAUUAUGUAUUAGCUAAUUAUUUAAAAAAAAUGGAUUAAUUUGAUUUUUUUAAAGCAACUUUCCUAUAGAAAACUUUUGCAAAAAAAUGCAUUGUUUAGCAGUUUGAAAAGCGUGCGAAUAGAAAAAGAGAGAGAUGAGUUGGGAAAGAAGGUGGAAGAACACAGCUUAUAUGUGGAUGAUGAGUGCUGAUGAUGAGAGAUGAGCAGGGCUAAUAGCACUUAUGAGUGCUGAUAGUGACAGGAACUGAACUUCUUUCUAUAGGAAAGGAAAAACCUAGUUGAUCUCCACAAAUUGUAGUUAAUGUUAAUUCUCUUUUCUCUCAUGAAGCCAUACCACCUCAACUGUUUCUACCCUUUGGAUCAUUUAUCUAUGGUUCAAAUUAUCCAUCUUCUCUCAUGAAGUCACGCACAUGCAAAUCAUCUCAAUUAUUUAUAGCUUUUUUCCACCACAAUCACCUCAAAUUAUUUUUAGCAUUUGAUCGCUGAUGCAUUUAGGGAGAAGAAAUAUAUCAAUGCGAUGAUAGUAAAACAAAGUUGGCAGUCACCAAAUUGUGACUUAGGGAAAGGGAACUAAUAUGAGAGAUUAUAUCGAUGAUUAGGAGACUGAACCAAUACGAUACUCCCUCCCGUCCCAAAUAUAACAAUUUCUAGCAUUCAAGAUUUGUCCCAAAAUAUAACAACUUCUCCAACAUUCUCUACCCAACCAAUCACAACCCUCCACCUACCUCUACUUCUAAACCAAUCACAACCUUCCCCCAUUUUAUUCUACCUACCUUCCCCAUAUACCCGUGUCCAACCCUAAAACUGCUUAUAUUAUGGGAUGUAGUACAUUAUAUCGAUGAGAUGAUCGGUGCAAUUUUAUUUUGCACUUAAUGUUUUCUUAUUAUCAUACGAUGAUGCGACUUUCCCGCAGCAAUGUACGUAGUUUCAUCUAGUAGAAGAAACAGAUCUACAAAUUAAGAGAGUAACACAUCAUCUGAACCUUUAGUAAGCAAAGAAAAGGGAAAGUUAUACAUUAGCUACAAAUUGUUAUACAAUGAUAAGAAUGGUCAUUGUCAUGUAAAACAUAAAUGUGAUAAAACCUCACCCCACAAUAGAAUCCAAUGACUUUAAGGGCCUGUUUGGCCUUGGGCAUCAGGUGUGAGCUCUCUUAUUAGUCUUUGGGGCUGUUGUUGCUUUCUUCAGAGAAGCUAACUUCCUAAUAGAAUCCCAAAAAUUGAUCGGCUGGGUAAGCCCAAAGGCUAGCUUAUUUUGGAAUUACUGGGAAAAUCAGGGAUGAAGUGGUAGGGGAUAGAAGGAAGCAGCUUUUUGGCUUAUUUCUUUGAAAUAGCUUUAACCAUCUCCAAAAGCUAAGUGGUGAUAGCUCUAAUCUAGCUUCAAUUGGCAGCCAGUCGGGGCAGAAAAGGCCCUAGACAUGUUCAGUACAAACUAAUUAAGUGAUUACUUCCCUAACUUAUUGCAAUGUGCUUAACAACCCCUGUCUGGCAUUGCAUGGUAAAUUGAUCAAAUAUAAUCGUGCAAGCCCAUCAUCGUGCACACCCACAAGCAGAUCUUUUGUGUGAUUGCACUCCAUGAGCUCAUGCUACAAUCAUAUAAGUGUGUGCACAGAUAUCUGGAACUCCAAGAAUUUUUGGCAGAGGUAACUCCAAGAAUUUUCAAUUGCUAUGUUUACAUUUCAUAUUUCGAGUAAUUUCAGAAAGCCAUAUGUAUUACGGAUUGUGGCACAUGACCCCCAGGUUUAUGGUCUAAAGGUUAUAUAAAACCCCAUCUUUAUUUAAAUCUCAGCUAAUUUUCGUAUAUUUGAAACAAUACUGUUCAAAGUAAUAAGGAGUUACAUCUUAAUACAGAAAUCAUAUAGACACUUUAUGACAUGAAAACUUAAGUAAAUGUGUCCCCAACAUGUUUUAUAGAAAGUGAAAAUAGAGAGUGGCUGUGUGCCAUGUUCUUGAGUGCAUGCCUAUCUCUAUGCCUAAUAAGUGUCACCAUCUUGAUGAAUCCUUUGCUUCCUGGACCCCAACACAAUGUUCACCAAAUAAGUGAAAUUACUCAGACGCAUCAAGUUUAAAACAAGCUAUGGGAAUAUUUGGAUUUUGAACUACAACUUACUAUGAUUUAUCCCAAAAAUCAUGAGAAUUUUGUAGGUCCUACUUUUGAUUGAAGGACUUGGGUAGCGUUUGGGUCUUCUGGUAUUUCAAAACCUUCAGCAAUGGUAGAAAGGCAAAUGUAUACGAGAAGCAUCAGCAUCGACAUAGGCAUCAGAUCAAUACAUCUAACUAGCAUACCACUAACCCCCACGUUCCUGCAAGUUCAAUGGCAUAUAGCAGAAUGCCAAUUCUCCAACUAUUUUCAUAUUGGCACACAGCUGUUUUUUUCCCAAAAAGAAAAGGAUAUGAUCUAGUUUUACAGUAACACAUAAACGGAUUGCACAACAGAAUCAUUGCAAACAGAAGUUGUAUAGAUUUGCUUACUUUUCUUUAGUUGGUUGAAUGAAAUAUAUAGCAUCUAGUGAAGGCAACGGUUGUCUCCGUUUGUACAAAUCUUCAACCACUGCAAAAGAACUAGCAUAGGUGAGACUUUACAGACGAUGCAUCUACUGGAAGGCUUUAAAAUAUACAGUGAACAAAUAUUUCAACAAAUAACAAUUUAGGAAUUCGAAGGUUCCAGAGUGCGAAGCUAGAAAAAGGAUACAAAAUGGCAUGUAAAAAUCAGGAUAACCAUAUAAGCAUAAGGUGAUAUACACAGAAGCAUAUUUGAAUCAGUUGAAAGAGAUGAUACUGUAGAAACAAGACUUUGGUGGUGUCAGCUGAAACACAUAAGCAGGACCACAACUCAUGCACCAAGCAGCCUAAAGAAAAUACUCGGUCAUAAUAUUUGACGCAGUUGACUUACCAUGGAGCUUGACAAUUCGUCUUAUUCGUGGUCUUAUUCAAAAAAAAAAUCUGUAAUUACCAUUUAUUUAUUUUGAAGGUACUUAAAGCAUGACUUAGCAUUUUUAAUAAGACGAAUGGUCAAACUUCAUGGUCAAAGUCAAACAAACUGAUCAAAUAAUGUAUUUCCUUAUAAAUAAAACAAAAUCUGAGAAAGAACAAAAUGUGUGUCACUACUUACAUGAAACCCCUUCUUCUGUAAUAUCUGCCAUCUUACAUGAACAUGAUAUUAUCUUGACUGUAAGUUUAUCCAUAAUAAGAACCUAGAAGAAAUCAUAACAAUUUGUGUAAGAUGCUGCACAAAUUACAUAAGGGAAUUUGUUAGAGAAGGGCAUAAACAUAUUGUAGAAAUUUCGAUGUUUUCAUAAACAGAUAUAUCUAUAGACUCAAAACUUCUUCAAAUAAAUAUAGCCUCCUCACGAACAUAUCUAAAAUGAUCAUUAAAUGCAACAUGCGAACAAUCAUGUCAGCGUGUGAGCUCAGUGCCCGUGGGUGCCUAGACUGCCAUUUCAAAUAUGAUCACUAGAUGUUUUUCAUACUACAAAUUAAGCAAUAAGCAUCAUAUUCCAACAAGCUCCCAGUUAAUGGAAUUUCUAGUAAUCCCUUCAAAGUUUAUGUUUUCCUAGCAAAGUGAGUUGAACCAGCAAAUGCCUGUAAAUAAAUUUAGAAUGCUGCAUGUUAUAUUUCUGUAAGAGUAAGUUGCACCAUACAACAAGAUGUGAGGUGAGUGCAAGUAGGGAACUAGAGGAUUGCUCAUUUACACUAACAAACUUGUUUUGCUGGUACACAACAGGUCAAUUUUACCCUUGAUGGCAUUUUCUAUGCAUAUAUGCUGUAUGUGAUGUAUAUAGGAAGGAAACGAGAGAUACUUUAUAUGAGCUAAGUGGGAUACCUAAAGGUAGUCUGGUAGUGUCACAAUGGCCCAAAAUUUAUUUUAAUGCAACAAUGCGUGCAACACAAAUUGCUCGCCCAUGUAUAGGUACCUCUGUUUCCCUUUUUCUUUUUCUAUCUAUGUCUCUCAUUGGCUAGUAACAUCACCAGGCCACCAGGCAUUCUGAGACCUUUCCUAUAAAAUAAGAUCCUAGCCCUAAACGAAAUGGUGUUUAAAUUACACUCUAUUAAGCCAUCACAACCACAUCGGAGUAUAGGGAGUCAACGAGGAUGAAAAUUGUCCUCUUGGGCUGGUGGGUAUGAGCCAAACAAGAUUGCUGACACAAACGAGCAAAUCUCAAGUUCCACACUUGCACUCACCCUGCAAGUUGUUGUACAUAUGAUGCAAUGCAGACUAUAAAUCAAAAGAAAUGUCAUAUUUACAUGUUUUCCGACUUUAUCAUUAUUCAAUGUAUACAGCAGGGACCUCAAGUAGUUUUUUUUCCUUAAAAAGAUGCAUACGUGUUUUCCGACUUUAUCAUUAUUCAAUGUAUACAGCAGGGACCUCAAAAGAAACCAUGUCAAUCUGAAAGGUGCCCAGGAUUCCUUACCUUCCAUGUUGAUUUUGAAUGUUUCCUAGUUGACCUGAGCAUUUCAAAUAAUAAACCUGCAUGGUCACAGCAAAAAAAAAAAAGGUUAAAUGGAGGUGCUUUCUAUAUGAAAGCAGAUAAGCUUGUGCAAAAACAGACAAUAACAGUGCUCCUUGAAUGAAUAUGAAUAGAGAAUUGAAAUGUGUGGUUUGGUUGGAAGUGUGAUGAAGCAGAAAUAUACAACAUGAAACUUGCCAUGCAGAGAAUUACACGGUUGAUUAGUAUACCACAUAAGUCGACAAGACAACCAAGUCAAAAUAAGGUAACUAGCGCUCCAUGGAGCAGAAGAAUAAAUAGAUGAAAAAUAAAAAAGGUAAGCUUCUGUCAAGAUUAGUUGGCCAUAGAAACUACAAUCAUGAGCGAACCUUUUGCUCACAAGUCACAAGACAAACAAGACAACCAAAAAUUAAAUAUCCUGCAGUUAAAACAAUUAUAAGAAAAACUGUGAUUCAGCAAUUAUUUCUCACCAGUAAAUUUUGACAUCAUUAACUGUACAGAACAGAAAUGGUUUUGACUACCACUAAAUAAGCAAGCAUGGCCCAAUUCAUUUCAUCGUCGGGCAUCCUACCAGAUAUGGCUUCCAUAUAUCAAAGAAUAGUACAUUCCAGAAAUAUGGAAAUCAAGAGCACAAAGAAGCCAUUGCUGCAUAACAGACUCGUCCAACUAGACACCAGUAGUACAACGAUGAUGCAGCAGUGAAGGCAUCUCAGGUAAAAACCAAAUAAUCCUGUACGAUUUUCUACUCCGAUAAGAGCUCUAAGCAAACAAAUUCGCACAACCACACGGAUUUUUCCUAUCUCCACAAGCAAUUGUCCCAGAUCCAUCCCCAACAGCAGCAUCAGCAGCAGCAGCAAGCAAGCAAAUCGGGAGCAGCAGGGAUAGAGGAAGCACAGAGUGGUGGCCUUACGGUCUCGCGUGAUUUGGCGGAAGCUCCGGUGGUCCCCGCCCUGGGAGGAGGUGUCCGAGUCCAUCGACAUGGCGCCGGAGAUCUCCCCCGCCUACUUCCGGCGACGCCGCCUCGGGCUGCGCUAGUAGGGUGGAGAGAACCACUAGCCUUUGACCCGCCCCGCGUAGAGGAGGCGGUGAUCGGCGGGCGGCGAGCAAGCAGAAGAAGGGGAAGUCGGAGAGAGAUCAGAGGGAAUGCUCCGUGUGGCCGCGUGCCGGAGAGAGGAAGAAGAGAAUUGGGGGGAGGAAGCGCGUGCGCGUCUCCAAGAGGUCGUCGGACGGUGGCGGCCGAGGAGAUUUUACCAGAUUGCCCCCCCCCCCCCCCCCCCCCCCUCCUCUGUGCUUCGUUGGACUUUUUUUUUUCUUUUUGACGCUGUGCUUCGUUGGACUUGACCUGUACGACUUCCAUGCUAAGAAAAGGGGCAGGCGGUGCGGUUGCUCUGCAACCUUUAUUCGUAUCUAUGUGACAUGUGGGGCCCACUUGGUACCCACCGGUCAUUGGUUAUAGUUGAGUGAAGCCGACGCCACUCGCUCUCAGGUCUCUCACAGUGCGGUGAGCUGGACCGGGACCUCGUCGCGCCACGUUGGAUUUUUGCCGCCGUGUCACUUGGACCCGCACCUAAACUAGGUUCCUCGUCCCCUAGGUGAGCGACGCAAAACCUCGCGAAAUCCAGGGCGCGCAGCGAGGAGAAGACCCGGGUCGCGCGCGCUGUGGGCGGCGUAGCCUCGCCCUCGCGUCGAAACCGUAGCGCGAAAUCCCCGAUUUGCCCUCCCAAAACCCACUCCCGCCGCACCGAUUUCCCUCUCCCGCCACCAAUUCCUCUGCUCCCACGCCGAGAAUCCUCAAAAUUAGCAAGCAAAAUCAAGAACACAGAUCGUCACGGCGAUUACCAGAAGAAUCACACAAGAGACACAAAAUCAUAGAAGAAAAUCAAGAGUCACACAAAAUCACACAAAAAAAAUCAAGAACGCCGCCGCCAAGAACGCCAAGGAGGAGUGCGCCUUCCUCCCGGCCGCCGCCGAGCUCCGCCGCCACGCGCGUCAUGACGCCAAGCUCCGCCUUGGCCAGGUCGACGCCGAGCCCGUCCACCACGCUCCAGGGCGGGGCUAGCGCCGCCACGCCCCUGGCCACGCCGACCCCUCCCUGCCUCUGCGCCGCCCUGGUGGGGGAGAUGAGGAGGCGUCACGGGGGAGAAGCCGCGAUGCGUCGGUGGAGCGGUGAAGUUGUCGAGGUCGUCCGGGAAGAAGCCGCGACGCGUCGGUGACGACGUCAUCCAUGGGGGGCCGGAUGCGAGACUCGCCAUGGCUUCCUGCGAGCUUCUUGAGCUCGCGGAGAAGGAGCGAAGGCGCGAGGGGAGGUGGGGGAGGAGCGCGAGGCGUCCCCGGCGUGCCGCCACGGCGUGGGAGGCAAGGAGGCGCGGCGGCGGACCGGGAGGAGGAGCGGCGUGGGAGGCGAGACGAAGGAGGCAUGGCGGUAGAAGGAGAGAAGGAGGAGGAGCGGUGAGGAGAGAAGGGUAGGUGAGGAAAUAAAUUGCGUUCGGCUCCCGUGUCCCACGCGCGUAGGGUAACACCCAUUGUGGGAUUCUUUUCCUUCCAUAGUAUCUCCAUUCAAUUAGGUCACGUAAAAUAGAAUCCUUGCACUGUGGGAAAGAGUGUCUUUGGGUCUUUUUUUGGGGCUAAGACACGGGCUCCGGUGCUUGCACUGUGAGUGCCCUCAGAUUAGACGGUUUCCACUGCACGCUUGAAAAAUGAAAUGGACCACCAACAAUCUAUACUAAUAUAAAAAGGAAUAGUUAUCUUCUUCCAAUCCGAUAGGUAAAAUCAACAGGUGAAAUCCCUACCGUUUAUCCGCAUCGCUCUAAUCCCUAUCGUCCACAGGAUUUCACCCUCCCGCAAUGACCGCGAUUUCACUCCCCUAUCCAUCCACCGCGAUUUUCACCCGCGCUCUCGCCACCACGCGAAGACUCCGCCUCCGCGCUAUUCUCUCCUCCUCACGUCUCCCCACCACCACUCCACUCCACCACUGGCCCCGCCGGAGACGGAGCCGAGGUCUUCCGCCGCCACCGCCGCCGUCGCCACACUCCACCGCUGGCCCCGCUGGAGAAUUCUGCAAAAUUAUCAUCGUCCCCACCGUAGCGCUUGCUCUUCCCAGCCACCGCAUCGCGCACCACGGCACAGCCAUCGAGCAACAGCACCUCCUCCUCCCCGCUGCCUACUCCACCGAGGGAGACCUUGGCAUCAUCGUCGCUGCCCUCAAACCGGCGUCCAAAUGGGAUGGGGGAAGGGAGAGACAGUGGCGCAUUUGGGAAUGGGAAAGAGUUAAGAGGGGGAGACCGCGGUGGUAGUAGGGGACAAUGGAGAAGGUGGCACCGUGUUAGGAACUCUUGUGGGCUGCAAUGUGGGCCAGUUCAGUGGCCUUCUAAGCCUAGCCCAACCAAGACAAGGAGGAGAACUACAAAACAGCAAAGCUGCACUUUCAGGGGCUAUCGCAAGAUCAAUUGGCAAACGGCGACGGCGGCGGCGACCUGGUGGCCGGUUGGCACCUUGUCGAUUUCCUUCCUCCCUACCUUCCUUCUCCCUCUAUCUUCUCCAUCUUCCACCACUUGUAUCCCCUUAGUUCAUCCUCCUUCCACCUCUAUUUAUUGGAGUAUGGUUGCUAUUGUAUUGGAUGCUUGCAUAUUUGAGUGGAAUUGAGAUCAGAGGUUGGGGUUCCUAACAAAUUGGUAUCAGAGCUACUCGGUUCGUGGGAUUUCUUGUCAUUGAGGUCUUGGGAAGGCAGCAGUGCAAGGUGGAAGAAGAAUUGGGCAAGGGAGGUGUUCAAGAAUCUAGCGCACACAACCUGUUCGACAGACUGACAAGCCAACAUAAGGUGUUCAAGGAUGAUGAAAGGAUAGCAGAGCCUGUUCCCAUCAAGUCCACCAUGAACAAGGAGGGAAUAUCCAUGGACGAAGCUUUAGAUCGGAUUCUUGAGAGGUUUGAGUUGAUGGAGGCCAACCGUAGACAAGAGGAGAAGUUCAAUCAAAUACUACAAAAGCUGGAGGAGGUAGAGGCUCGUAGGAGCAAGGCUGCCGAGGAGACAAUUGCAUCCAUCAGGGCAACCACCGCUGUCCUCAAGGCUACAUCACCUAUAGCACCCAUGGCACCACCUACUCCAGCGUGUACCAAGUGUUUGACAGAAUGCCCCAACAACAACCUCACUUGGGCGACGGUGAGCUCAAGUCACAUUAGUGAGGAUACUGCUCCAACAGUUGCCUGGGAGCUAGGAGACAACAAGGACAAGGGCCACGCCCCCUGCGUCGUCACAAAGGACUCACUCGAGGUCACGCCCACCAUGUGUUCGACGAAAUGCUCCGGUCCUACCGUUGAGCCUGAUCUCACUGUGGCUGUAGUGGUUACGUCCGCCACCACUGCCGCGGCCUCUAUGGAGUUGGUAGCUACUGGGAACACAAUCGGUGCCACUUACAUCAACAAUCUUGACCACCCCAAGGUGACGCACGCCAAGUGUUUGAUGUUGGACCUUGGCUCCAAUAGUGGCGACAACCAAACCAUGGUCACGUUCCAGACCUUAGUGGACAUGACUAAAGGCGUUUUUGCACCUGAUGCAACAAUUGAAGUCAGCUCACCAAGGAAGAUCGCUGAAAUGGACUUGGUCAUAGUGAUGCCUACAGGGUGUUCAAUGCUAUUCUUUGACAAAGGUGCCAGUGAGUUGCUGCCUGUAAGGAGACAUGUUAUGUGGCAAUUGUUAUUGGAGCAGUGCAAGUGAAACCCUUGGUCGCCUCCUAACUCAGUUUAUCAAGUUAAUGGAAUAUGGGAGUUGUGGCAUGUGCCCUGGAUAGACUUCAACUAUUUUAGAACAAGAUUAUGUUUGAUGCCACCUUAGCCACCAUCGACUCAAAUUGGAACCAUAAUGCUUUGGCUGGUGGCAAACUCAUGGUUGAGAAUAGUAGAGCUGAAACCGUGGCCUGACCCACAAUCAAGUCAAUGUAGCAUAGGCGGGAGGUGGACUGAACUGAAAGUUCCAUGGUCAGCACUUGAUUGUGAAUGUUCUAUGGGAGAUGAUCUUUGCAGUGCAAAUUGCAUAAGAAACGAAGCACUUUCUGUUACAUUAUCUUGUGCACCUAAAGGAGAUUUAAAUCAUAAAAAAAUUGAUGGAUCUCAGAAGGAUACCUUGGUGGCAUUACUUAUUGUAAUGACCCUAAAAUUUUAAUUUGCUUCGCCGCGCUGUUGGCAACCUAGUUGAGCUCACUGUGUUGAGCUGAACGACUAGUUGUGUCACACGAUUGGCUUGGAUUUUUUUUUUUGCGUUAGAGGAUCGAUUCAUAUGCAUAUAUCACAGUUGAAACACAAAUUAGACACAUAAGUAAAUUCUUUAUUUCUUCACAUAUACAUUAUACAGUGUUGUUGCAUACAUCAAAUGCAUCUCAUACAUUAUUCGUCUAAAAUAGAAAUAGUGAAAAUUAAAUAAAAAUGUUGGUGUGAUCUGUGACCACACCUAAUUGCUUUAGGAGAUUUCAAAUAUAAGAUUUAGGCAAAAGAGAAAAUUUAGAGUUGCUUGAUGUCACAUAUUUUGCAACCAAACCAUUUUGGGGCACAAAAUUUGUAACAUUAGCCAUCUCUUAGUACUUUCCAAAACUAUUUAUUUCUUAGGUAAACUCUGAGUUUUUGGGCAAUUGAAAAUCAGUCCCUAAAUUCAAAGUAAUCUCCAUAUUUUUAAAGUCUAUGGUACUAUAAUGCAAAAGUUACAAAUAUCAUACUUUUCACUAGAUUUUUAUUUAAUUGCAAAUCUGUGAAAAAUUAUGCUGAGCCUCCACCGAAUAAACCAUGCUUAGGUGUCAAACAGGGAGACCACUAGUAAAACCUUAGUAGGUGAGUCACCUAGUAGUCAACCAUGUCCAUGUGACAAAAACCAUAUCAGUGUGAACCCCAUCCUGACCGAGCCUCGUUUUCCUCGUAGAGACCAAAACCAGUUAGCAAGAAGAACCACCAUAACCAGAGAGUGGAGAAGAAAAGAAAAAUACAAGAGGGCAAACUCACCCAACAUUAGGUGGAGCAGGGGCUCCAGCUCCAUUAGGAGCAGGUACCCCAGCUCAAGGAGGAGACGCUGAUUCAGUAGAAUCAACCAACCAAUAGAAGCUGCAGUAGAAAAAGAGGAGUUCAACCAUAUAUUUUCACAACCACUGAAUAAGCCACAAAGAGGUAAACUAGAUUAAGAGCAUCAUCCAUGGCAUAUAAUCAUGAUUAGAAGUCAGAUUAUUUUACAAAUCAAGAAUCUAGAGACCAUAUUAUUUGCAUUACAAGGUUACAGUGGCACACAUCUAACUAAUUUUUCUAUUGUGGGACAUUAUGAGAAAUAGAACAGAAAAAUAGAAGGGGGAAAAGGGAUAUGGAGUUACUGGUGAGGGUUGUGGCCGGCAGAGUUGCCAUUUGAGGCAUUGGCCGUCUCCACGGCGACCAUCACAGGAGUUGAGUACCAAUAGCCAUGGAGGACAACAAUGCUCAGAUUCCUUGAGAGAGGAGAGGUGGUAGUAGAGGAUGGAGGUAAAGCAGGAUAUGAGUUUGUGGGAACUAGGGGGAUCAAAUCACUGCAGGGGCAGCUGCUAGGGAGAUCGCCGGAGUGGGGCGUGGCAGCCGGCCUGAGGGAGAGCGUCGGUGUUGGCGGCGCUGUUUGGGGAUGGCGGCACAGGAGAGAAGGCGUGAAGGAGAGAAGGAGAUAGCGAGAGAAGAAGAUGAGAAGAAAGAAAGUGGGCUGGUUGGGCUUUGGUUUUGUGGGCUAGACUAAAUUAAUUAUAUAUAGUCUCUAGGAAAUUAGUUUUAGAUUUAGAAUAGAAUGUGAGCAAGUUUAUAUAGCAUACAAAUUGAUGAUUCUAAAUUUUUGACAUUAGUGCUAAAAUAAAAUCUGAGCAGAGCAAAAUAAAUUUAUAUAACAGUACCUGAUCAUUAUAUUUGCCAUUCAUAAUACAUCAUUCAUAUGCAUUGCAUGCGGUAAAUUUAUGCGUUCGGAAUAUGUCCUUAUUCGGACUUCCGUAUUUUUUUCAGAAGUUCGAGUUCCCGAGGAAUCAUUCAUUUCGACUGAAUCUGAGGGUAUUUGUGGUGUUUUCUAUCCAGGCAAGUCCAUCUCUUGAUCAUAUUGCUUAGUUAUUUCAAAUAUUUGCAACCUAUAUAACUCUCACCAUUGCAUAGAAAACCAGAAAUUUAUUUCUGAAUGUUAAUAUUGUACAUGUGGAUCUGUGGAUCAGUUCUUUGGUGAUCUUAAUAAUUGGCAGUCUGAACUUGGUUGUUGUGUAGUUCAGCUGUAUAUGCUUAACAUCAUAAGGUUAAUUAACAACUGCUGUAGGUAUGCAAGCGCCGUAGCGAUCGUGUCGACCAUAUGACCUGGAAUGGGAUAGGCUGGCUUAGUAGUUCUUUCUUAAUGGCUUUAUCCUGCGGGCUUAAGGACUUCCGCGAAUCCCGUGAGCGUGGGCUAGCGAUGAGGGUUGCCGUUGUUGCGGAAUCCGAUUAGAUGAUGUGGAUCGCCAUUUUUGCGGGAUCCGAUGAUUCGCCGUUGUUGCGGGAAUCACCCGCAGAGAUAAUUGACAGAUGGGAUUGAUGAAAAGCUUGUGACCUUAGCCUUGCUGGCAUACACCAUGAAGUGUGCUUUAAGCGCCGACGGGCAUGGGCGUUAAAAGGUUUAAGGCGUCUAUGGGUAUAGCGACACACCUCUGCAGAGUGUAUGAAUUGUGAUAUGUCACUCCCUGUUUCGGGUAGAAACUGCGAACGCGGUAGGAAAGGGAUCUAUCGGAGAUUCUACCCUGUGGUACUUUAUAUGCAGUAGUGUUUUAUAAUUAAAAUUUGAAUUUUUGCAACAAAUAUUUGUCAAAAACAUUAUGAAUUCUUUGAAGAAUCUUGAAUUCUAGAGAUAGUUGCAUUCACACAUUUUCUUGCUAUUGAUGGGCUUGUUGAGUACCAUUUGUACUCAUCCCCUAUGUUAAUUCCUUGUAUAUAGAUGUUGAAUCAUUAGAAUCUGUUGAACAAGAAUAUAUGGCUGGAAGUGAAGGAACUCACGUUAUGGAUGACAACCAGGAAGGACUCUACGAUGAUGCUGAGAUUGACUAUGAUAAUUAGUAUAUAAUAUGCAUGGUUCAUAUAGUUGCUGUAGUGGUGAUGGUAGUAGCUGUGGCAGCGGUAGUAUUUGUAGUAGUAGCAGUAACAUUAAUAUGAGUAGUAGUAAUAUCUGUAGCAGCACUUGUGAAUUUUCUUGUGUGCUAUAUAUGUGCUGAGUUUUUGGGGUUUGUAUAUUAUUUUGCUGUUAUCGCUCGAGGCUUGUCUUGAGCUGUAUCUAUGGUACUGUAAUAACCGGAACCAAUGCGAUGUUUCUGCUAUGCUACUCUGAUGUGCAUAUCUCUGAGUAAACGGUGUUUAUGAAGAUAUAUGCUAUAGACUUAUAUUCUACUCUUGUUGUGGAAUAUGUGGGUCGUUUCACUUAUCUUGGAACAUUUCCAUUAUGUGGGUGAUGAAGAAAAAGUUACACAGGGAAUGCUAAAUGGUCUAAUUGCAGUGGGCUGCAACUACUUGAUCCUGAUCAUGUGUGCUGCUAUAAUCACAACAACAUUUCAUCUUGCUAUGAUUACAACUCAAGGCAACAACGUAUAUGGGACAAAUCAAUUGCAUGAGAAGCUCAUUGCCAGAUUGAUUCCUUUGACCACGAGAGGAUUGCCCCUGCCAAUUCAUGGUAAUGGCUCAAAUGUCAGAAACUAUUUGUAUUGUGAUGAUGUUGCUGAAGCUUUUGAGGUGGUUCUUCACAAGGGUCAGGUCAGCCAUGUGUAUCAUAUCGGUACUGCGAAGGAAAGAAGGGUGAUUGAUGAGGCUAAGGACAUAUCGGUAUGAGAUUCUAUCCUUUGGCCAAAACUGAAGCAUGUUGAUGUACAGGAGGAUGGAAACAACAGGUGGACUAGAGAUUUUUCAAGUAGAAGCAUUGUAUUGAAAGGGCGAAAAGAUUGUGGACUUUGUUGGUGUGCACUGGAUGUUAUCAGGGACGUGAAAGUUGAUCGGGUCCUGCAACUUUUGAAGCAAUAUGGUUCAGCAAAAUUGGUGAUCAUUAAUUCCUUGAGUAUACCAUGGGAUCCAGGCGGCUCUCGUGUGACAUUGGCUGGGCGUUCUUCUUGUCACAUUGGCUACAUUACAAGAGAAGUAUUAACAGAGGAAAUCAAGUAUAAAUCAUUGCAUCAAACAUAUCCGUUGGUGAAGUUUCCACAAUUAAGGUCAUCGGCUUGGGGACAAGCCGAAUUUUAAGAAAUGGGGAUUGUUAGGAACUCUUGUGGGCUGCAAUGUGGGUCAGUUCAGUGGCCUUCUAAGCCUAGCCCAACCAAGACAAGGAGGAGAACUACAAAACAGCAAAGCUACACUUUCAGGGGCUAUCGCAAGAUCAAUUGGCGAACGGCGACGGCGGCGGCGACCUGGUGGCCAGUUGGCACCUUGUCGAUUUCCUUCCAACCUACCUUCCUUCUCCCUCUAUCUUCUCCAUCUUCCACCACUUGUAUCCCUUAGUUCAUCCUCCUUCCACCUCUAUUUACUGGAGUAUGGUUGCUAUUGUAUUGGAUGCUUGCAUAUUUGAGUGGAAUUGAGAUCAGAGGUUGGAGUUCCUAACACACCGCCAAUGUUCGGCCCUGCGACAUGAAAGGUAGGUUUCCUCCAAGACCAGCAGCAACGGUGUAUAGGCUACACAGGUGAUGUCACAACCAUGCCACUUGCCUGCUGCUGGUGCCUCCAUCUCCCUAACUCACGGAGCAUUUCUUCAGAUCUACAGCCAUGCCAUGCUGAGUCAGGUCCGAUCUACAGCCAUGCCAUGCGGAAUCAGGUCUGAUCCAAUUCCCUACUUGCUCCUCUCCUUUUAUCCUGGUUUACUCUUUCGCUCUCCGAUAUUUGAUUUAUGGCUUGUUCGUGAUUCGUUUGGUUAAUCACGCAUUAGUUUGUUGUUUGCACAUUUAAUCCUCUAAGCAUUAUAAUUGGUUUAUUUCAAAUUUUGUAAUAUAGAAAGAUUCUGCUGACUUGAAAAAAAAAGAUCUGUAAUAAGAUGGCUGAAGUCUUCAUUUCUGUCAGCAACGCGUAACUAGGCUGCACAUGCUCCUUUUUCUUCCAAUUCUAAAUGUGAAGUUAAGAUAUGUGAUUCACUUCCAUCUUAGUUUUGAGAUGCAGCGGUUCGUAGCUUCCCUUGAAAAUCUCAUUUGUUUUUUAAUCCAAUUGCAGGGUGCCGUUGCUCUCCUGGUUUGGAGGUUGGACCAUUUUCUAAGUCAUCUUUAGAUUUCAUAAAAAUAAUAUUAAAGUGAUUAGAAGAAAUUAAGUUAUCCUAAUUCGUGUCUCAAAGUUGGUAAUCGACAACACACUUCGUUAGAACAUAAUAUGUUUUUUUUCAUCAAAAUCAACAGCUCUCGAGUCCAAACAUCAUUGGAAGCUUUUUGGCUCCAUGGCAGAUUAUUUUUUCUUUUAUCCCAUAGUUAUUUUUCUGUGUCGCACUGCUCUACCUCUGGAAUUUUCAUAAUUCCAUAAUUCAAGCAAAAGUGUUUCAAUAUUUUUUUAUACUAUUUUUGGUAAUAGCAUCGAUUUCAUGCCAGUGGCAAGCCUAUCAAGUAUUUUAAUCAAAGAAUGGAACGCUUUUUGUAGAUGUACAGGGAAAAUGGAAAUGGUACAGGUAUUUCAUAUUGUCCUACGAGGUAAUAUUUCUUCACUCGGUAAUCUGUUCAGUCAAUGAAAAGUUGUGCAAUCUCCUGACUCUUUCAGGACAUCGACAUAACUACUACAUGGACAGGGAAGAGUUAUGAGGUAUUAAAGGCCUGAGAUUCAUGGAAAAACAUAUCCUCGGGCAACAUGUUCAUUAAUGUACCAAUGUGCUUGAUAGAAUCCCACUGCAAGGAAAUUUGUAUUGUUCUGAUCAAGGCACAAGUACAGGAGAAAAUUGACGUAUUUUUGGAUAUGCAAGCACUGGGCAUUCAAAUAAGAUCUUUUUGUCAUGCUUUCUAUUUUCUAUUUAACUACUGGAGUAUAACGUCUAUUUUCCCCUGAGCCAAAAUACAGAUGAAUUGUUCUGCAGAGUGUAAAAUUGGGCACAAAAAUGCUGAGUAAUUGCACCAUAAAUCAAUAAAUCACUACGUACUUAUACAGAUUGGAGCUGUUUAUUUUCCUUCCACUCAGGCUUCUUGCUGUUGGUGCAAAUGGACUUGCAAUCAAAUCAAAUGCCCUGUCAUGAGAAGGAAGAGGUGGCCUGGCCAGCCGAGGUCGCGACCGAUGUGCUUGCAAUCAGCGGCAAAGUGGAAGCUAGAGCAGCCGGAUGUCAGCGAGAGCAUGCACUGCCUCAAUCAUGAGCUUGCAUCGCCGAGCUUAAUUCGGAGUCUGCCAUCAACAUAGGUCAUCUUUCCUAACCAACCUCAAUUUGUUUACUUGGUCCACAUCUUUGGCUUCGUACCUCAAGUUUGAUGUAAUUCCUUCAUUUAUGCGCCGGUUAAGUUAUUGCUUGGUUUGCUCUUGUUAUUAAUGAAUUCUUACUAUUUAUAUGAGCAUCUUACAUGACAAAUGCAGAUUGCUACUUACUUUGUCUAGGUAUAUUCACAAGGUCAUUUUUCUUAAAAGUUGAAUUGUUCCCUCUAAAUGAAGGCUUAUUCAACCUAUAGGAAUAAGUUUUUAAAAGUUGAAUUGUUCCCUAGCCUGAAGCAAAUCUCUUUCCUGUUUGAACUCUACAGGAAUGAGCAGUAAUGAGGCUUGAAGGUGAUACAGUUAUCGACUUGAAAUUGUAGUCGGAUAAAGUAUUUGAUUAUUUGCCUCCACAUUUGAUUCGUAUAUAUUAGUUUAACAAAUACAUAAUUGAAAGUGAAGGAUCUGACCUAUAACUGACGCCUAAUGGUAGGCAUUUAAAGGAAUCUGAAAUUGUAACUAACUUUCUUUUGUACGAAAGAAUUCAAAUACAUAAAUGUGCAGAUGCAGCGAGGCUUUUUCAGAAACAAAUAUGAUUCUUACUGUUAAAAUAUCCUCUACCUGGCAGACAUCUAAGGAAGUGUACUCAUUUGAAUUCUGAUUUUGCUUUUUCUCAGGGUUGUUUCAUGUUCUAAAGAGUGUCAUCUGCAAUGCGAUAGCUUUAGAGAGAUGAAAGUCCAAUUAUGCUAGAUUAUCAGUUUUUUUGCAAGGAUGCUAGAAUAUCACUUUGACUUGUUUGGUACUGUCCAAUGCCAAUAGUGGCAAUGAAGACAACUCUUUAUACAUCAUCAGAGGAAAUGCUGACUCCAUUAUUUGUGAUAGAAAAUGUUAAACAUGGUGGAAGCAGGGGAGUAGAAUGUGGAGCAAAUAUAAAUAUAUUUUGAAGCUAGGCAGGACAUGAGGGUGCUCAUACAAAGUGAUUUCUGAGAGCUCAGAUUAAUUUUCUAUCUAUAAAUAACCAUCUCCAUAAAUGGGGUAUAUAUAUGUUUUUUUAAUAGAAGUUUUGCAUACAUUUUUUUGUGCAGUUUCUAUACUCUAGCUAGCGCUGGAAUGGUCCUACUUCUUUCAUUUACAACAUAUCAGCUUGGUUUCCCAUUUGGACUUAAAACUGUAAAUAUGGCAAGCAUGUAGAUAAAGUUGAUCCUACAUGCAUGCCACAACUUAUCAGACAUACCGUCUGCAUACUCUGAUUGUACAUUCAUGUCCAUACAGGGGAGUAAGUUCGGUAAAUUCAUCUUAGUGAACAGAACAUUUGUGCAUUUCAUUCAAUUUUUUGUUUUGUGGUGAUGAGAAGACUAUGUCAUUUGUUAUUCUUCUAUAAGAAAAUAAUUUGUUAUUCUUGUGUAAGAAAAUUGUUUGUUAUUCUUCUAUCUAUACUAAUAUAAAAAGCAUGAGUUUACCCUGCAAUCCAACUGGUGAAAUCACCUAUACCGUGUCUAAUCCAUCACCCACGCAAUCCUUGCCGCUCCAUCCUCCUGGCGCAAACAAUGCCACCAGCCACCACGCCCUCCUCCCUGAAUGAGCCUCAUUACUCCAGUAUAUGCUCCUCCCUAUUAGCGCCACUCCAUCGCUAUUCGUUGCGUUGGUCGAUCAUCGUUGCCACUCGCUAAGCGUCUCGACCGCUGGUUAUUGUUGUGGCGCACCGACAGCUUUCACCAUGACCCCCGGCCACUGGUCCUCGCUGCACGCUGCUGCAUGAUGGCCAUGGUGGCUCUCGAGUGUGGAGACGACAGGGCGAAGGGUGGAGUGAUGUCGAGGCUAGCGGAAUCAAGCAGAUCUAGAGGCCACGUCGCCGGCCGGCCUGUCCGUCGCCACCUAGGCGCUCGCCUCUCAGCCCUCCCGCCUUUAGCUGCUGCCGCGUCGACUGCCACCUUAGGAUUUGAAGGUGGUGCUCUACAACAGGGACGGCGCCACUGUGCCACCAUGGUCAUGAUGGCCCUGGUCCCUGGAGGUCAGGAGGGCAGGGAGGAGACCUCGCUCCGUGACCCCGACGCCGCCGCCGCCGCCGCCGGUUCCUGCACCAUCGUGGGCUCGCGGCAAUGUCGCCCCCUUACAUCUUCUGUGCCGCGCCAUCCAUCACCAUUCACCACGGUCACUCUGUUUCCAUAUCUAUGUCCACGGUUCAUUUGGGUUCUGGUAAGGGAGUUCCUACUCAUCCGAGUCCACAUUUCGGUUCUUCAGUUUUGUUCCGGUAAGGCAAUUUCUAAUUUUCGUUGACUGCCCCGCUUGCUGAUUUCCCUUCCUACUUUUCGUGGACAUCAGGAAGAGGAGGUCCACUGCCAUGUGUGUGAGAGCGACUUGAUCUAAUUUUUCAUGCUUGUGGUGUACAUUGAAAUUUUCUUCACGAUUAUCGUCCUUGCUAUGAAAUGCUUAUGCUAAUGAUUUGAUUGGUAAUCUUUCGAUAUGGAUUGAUCACUGAAUACUGAUGCAUUGGAUCCUUGGAGUGACCGUACAAUGCUUUGCAUUUCUAAUCGUUGUCCCCUACUUUAUACUUCAUUCAGUUCAUGGUAUAUCUCAUUAAUCGAGAAGAAAUUGAUAUGGUACCAAACGAGAUAAGACAAACAAGUUCUUGGACUGUAUGUGGUUACUUUUAAAAGUUAGCAUUCUAACAAGUAUGUUUGUAUAACUUUUUUUCGGUUAUAAUUUCCUUUUUUAUUUGAGUGAAUGCUCAGGUUAUAAUUUUAAUAGUAUAUUGUUAUCUAAAUAAAUGCGGCGCGAAGGUCAUGAGGUAGUUCUGAAAUUUCAGAGAAAUCUUCGAAGAUUUAUAUUUGGAAAAUUCAUAAACAGAGAUAAUGGCAAAUCCCUGGUUUUUGACCAUGGAACUGGAGAGUACAUUUAUCACCAAUGUUGCAUUAGAGUUUGUUUUCAAUAUCUGGAAAUUUUCUUAUUAAUUAUUGGCACCGUGUACAUGAAGCUUUUAUUGUUGAAGUCUCAAUUAACUUCUUACUCCAUUUUGUGUUCCAUGGAAUAUUCUUCUCCUUUUCAUCCCUGAAGCUAAUUUUUGUGUCUUCUUUUUAUCAGGCGAGUGAAUGAAUUUUCUUUUAAUUAGAAAGGUUACCCCCUCCCAUUUCUACUAAAUUAAACUGAUAUGUUUACAGCACAAGAGUCAUCCAGGCUAACAACAAGAAAACGAAGAACUGAUUUUACUUCUUCAUAAACAGGUGCAGAAAUUAGAUAGAAAGAUAACACAAUAUUAAGAUUGCUAGAAAAGAGUUCUAGUUUGCAUGGAGCAAUAACCCUUCCAGUCCGUCAGUUCCAUAUUACUGAAUGUAAAUUAUCGGUAAUAAGAAAUAUCUCAUAGUUUCUUAUUACCGAAUGCUAAUCCAUUGAUUUAAUUUCAGUUCUGGGCUUUUGUCAUCAUGUAUAAACAAAUAAUACCUUCGAGGAUUUUAUUGCCUUCUUAGUUCAAUUUUGGUAAUAUAUUUCUCCCAUGAUGGGAAUCAUGUCCCUUUUUACAGCUUACAUCAAGAUUCUUAAACUAGACUGUUCAUUUUACUUCUGCAGAUUAUUUCACUACUUUCUUGGUUUUAUUUCCUGUCAUCAGAUUUUACAUUCACAUGUACAAAUGAAGUAAUGGUUACCAUUAUUUUUGCUUGCUCUAUAUGUAUGCACCCAUAUGGCUUUUUACUAACCAAGCCGUAGUAUACUGGUAUCUGAUCCGGCUAGCUUGAUCCUCAUAUCCUUCCAUACAUUAUGGCAUUUCCGUUUGCCAGCCAAUGGAGUGCGCUCCUUUUUGCUCUAUCCUUUUUUUAUAUAAAGUUUUAUUGUGCUCCCCUGUAUUUUCCAAUAUUGUGAUUCCUUCAACAGAUCCACACAUUGCUUACGAUACAUGACUUUAGUUUUUUUGUCUAAAACUUGAUGUGCGCUUUUCUUUUGCAGUAUUUUUGUUGAAGUCAAAUUUCAAUGGCAAAUCAAUUUAAACCAUCUUAUACUUAAAUGGCUGGGAAGUUAGCUAUAAGCAGGUGAUGGAGAUAAUUUUGUUGUAGACAUAGGAUUGAGCUCACUUCUGUUGACAUCAAUAUAAGCACACAAGGUUCAAGAAAGUUUCAGUAAGAAAAUUGUUUUUUAGUUCACAAUAACGAUGUGUUGAUCUCUUUUGAGAUUGUUGUUGCAACUCCAGUCCCGUACAUCACACGUAGUUAAUAGCUCAGUUAUUUCUGAAUUUUGAUACUACUUUUAGAGCUACUGACCUAAAAAUUCCUAAAUUUAUAAUAUGAUUAUGAAUUUCCCAUGAUAUAUUUUAUGGAAAAUGUGCAUUGCAUGUGCACGCUUACUAGUAUUGAACAAAAUUAUUUUGUGGUUUACUUAGUAACCAUGAUUCAUUGAUUCCAUCCAAGUUCCCGUUAAAAUUUUCUCCUUUGUGCGCUUACAUAGAAAUUGUGUUGAGAAAUAUAAAAAAAUGUAUGCCCUUUAUUAUCAUUUGUACUCCAGGUUAAUGGUGUAGAUCCUCUGGUCAACCAUUUCCACCAUCACCCUCUGGAUCAAGCAGUUGUCAUCCUCAAGAUUGCCCCACAACUAUUGAGGUUGAGUUCGCAUGUCGCCACUACCCUCGAGUUCCCCCGCUAGCUACUAUUUCUAAACGGGUGAGAAUCCUAUAUCAUAAUGUCGCUACCAUUACAGUCAUUGGUACACGGGUCUCAACUUAUUAUUGCCCCACACGUCAGUUUCUAUAAUGAUAGUGUUAUUAUAGUAGAGGAUGUGAACCCAUCCUAAAUAGUGACAUUGAUACAUCUUCAUCGCUGUCACUGUCUCCAAAUCCGACAAAUGAUAUACUAGCAGCAGCGUAAUGGAACUAGAGAUGGCAAUGGUUCCCUAGUCCUUGGAUUCCCCGCGGUGAAUCCUCCCAUUAGGAGGAGGGGGUGGUAUAAAAUAUGUCUCCACGGAACAUUAAAUGGAGUAAAAACACUCUCCAUCGGGUCUGGCGGGGGCGGGUUUGGUUCACCAUCCCUCGUCCCCGCUCUCCGUGGAGGUCCGACGUAACAAUGUAUGUGUAAUAUUAUCAUGUAUAUUUGGCCCAUCUAGCCCAUAGAAACUAGGCCCAAAACGUAGAGUAUAUAAAGUAUCUACAAAACCCUAGCCAUUCCAAUCCCUUCUCCCUUUCGUCCCCAUUCCCCACGCCGUCGCAGGCUCGUAGCCUAGCUAGCGGCGUGCCGGUGCCGACUCCCGAUCUCAAUCUCGUAGGGCCGCCGCGCGCCUGCCGCGUCAGCACCCUCGCAGGGUCGCCGGCUUGUCGUGCUCGCGUCCGCGCAGGGCCGCUGCGCCUCCAGGUCUCGGCACUGCCGCACCAGGUCCCAGCGCCACAGUCGUCUCGGUCUCUCGGCAGCACUGAGGACGCCAAGGACUUGGCACCGGCCACCAGACGUUGGGCUCAUCCUCCACUGUCCAUCCAUCCAUUCUGAAUUUCUGAUCCGUCAUCUGGGCUUAUUUGUUUUACUGAUGGUGGAUGCAGGUGAAGGCUACGGUGGCAAGAAAGACCUACUCCGAACUAUGUUUUUGUGUAUGCCUGGACAACAUGUGUAGCGGUGAUAACUAAUGAGUGAUCGACUGGUGAUUGAUUAAUGAUCAUGUGUUAUUGUGUUGUUGCUUAAUAUGAGAAUUUGAUGGAUAGUGUUGCUGAGGGGAAAUUCUUGGGUACAAAUUUGUUGUACUGCUUGUUGCUGCAAUGCUGUUGCAACUGAAUAAGUAAUAAACUGAUGAUGUGCAUUUGUGAAUUUGUGAACUUGUGAUAUGAAUUUGUGAACUUGUUUUCUUGUAUAAUUAUGUUGUUGUCAUGUGCUGAAAUUGCAUGGCCAGAAUUGCUAUUUUGAGUGAUAAUCUUUUUAUCAAAAUUAUUGUUUGAUAUGUGAAAUAUAUACAUGAGACUCGCGGGGAUGGAGGCUCCACGGAGGCGAUGAUGGUGAAAGAUGUUACCCCGUUGCAUUUCACGGUGAUGGUGAUAGGGGAAAUUCUCCUCCACCGAGGCGGGUCUGGUGGUGUAACCUCCGACGGAGAAUUCCCCGUUGCCAUCUCUAAAUGGAACAAGCAUGCUCGGCCCGAUGGAUCUGUACGUGCUCAACGCCAAGCGCACCAAAGGUCUUAGGCUCGAUUGAUAUUGAUCACUUACCCAAUUAAAUAUUAAAUCACUUAUUCCUUUUAUGUAUGUAAGCAAGCAUCAGAUAGAGCCCUGGUACACGUGAAAACGCAUGCAGUGGCAGAGGAUUCAGGGGGAUGACGAAGAAAGUGGAUGGGGAGUUGCGAUUGCCAAGAUCAUUGAUGCCGUUCUCAAUGUGGGAAAACACAUAAUAGAUAUAGGGUGUGUUUAGUUCACGUUAAAAUUGAAAGUUUGAUUGAAAUUGGAAUGAUGUGAUGGAAAAAUUGAAAGUUUGUGUGUGUAGGAAAGUUUUGAUGUGAUGUAAAAGUUGAAGGUUUGAAGAAAAAGUUAGGAACUAAACUAGGCCAUAUAUGUAGGUGUUGAUGAACUUGACUGCAUGUAUUGGCCUGUUCAAGUUCACUGUCAUUGGUGCAUGGAGCAUAUAAAUACACGCGAAAACUUUUCAUUAUAUCAGAUCGUGAAUAUUUGGACACAUGUAUGGAGUAUUAAAUAUAGAUAAAAAAAACUAAUUACACAGAUUACGUGUAAAUUGCGAGACGAAUCUUUUAAGCCUAAUUGCUACAUAAUUUGAUAAAGUAGUGCUAAAGUAAACAUUUACUAAUGACGGAUUAAUUAUGUUUAAUAAAUUCGUCUCGCAGUUUACAGGCGAAAUUUAUAAUUUAUUUUGAGUAUACGUUUAAUACUUCUAAUGUGUUCCCGUAUAUCCAAUAUGGCACGCUAAAACUUUUCACCCGUGAAUCUCCUAGCCUAACUUAAACACUCUCAAACAGACAUGUAAUUACAGAUGCACACAUGCUGUCACACAUGCAAGAUUAGAUCGAUAUAAUCAACUUUAUCCAAUUUUAAUUGCUCCAUCACUAGCUAGCCAUUGUUUACACGUUCCCUCCAAUAAAUCGCCAUCGACUUCACUGCUGCCACUUCCGUCGCCACCGACUCAGCUGCCGUUGCCACCGCCGUCGUCGCCACAACUGUCAUCUUUGGUGCCGCCACUAUACGAUGUCCCAGACAAGACAGUGAGUUUAAGUUCAACUAGCAAUAAUCACGCGCUACGCUGCGUGUGGAUUUGAAGGUAACAUCAUACUCAAAGCAGCCCAAAAUGGUUACAGUUGUCAAGUUUGCGCCAAGAGCAUACUUGCAUUUACACUUUAUUAAUAUUUUCAAGAUCAAAUGUGAAUUGUUCUGAUCGGUUCGUUCAGAGAACAAUUUGUACAACCAAUGCACAGUAGUGUAAAAGCCUUUCCAGUGUGAUGUAGAUUACAGAAAAAGAUCAAUGUUGAGUCGGUAAUCAUUAGAAGGCAAGGCGCAUACCUGAAAAUUUUUCAUAUAGAAAUCUUCAUCACGAAACAAUGAGAUCUUUUCACAUAGCACCUGCAUUGUGAAGGAUAUUUUAGUGUUUCGGCGCAAUAAAAACAACAGUAUAUAACCAAAUGUAUGUGCAGCAAUUUAGAUGACUGCUGCUUACUUGGAAAGUGCCAGUGACUACUGAGCUAUGUCCAAUAGGCCAACAUUAUGUCCAAGAGUUCGGUUUUACAUGCAUGAAGUGGAAACAAAAUGUUGCAAUUUCGAUUGAUUAAGCGCAAAAAUAACUAAUGAAAUCAUAAUGUCAAGUCAACCUAUGAUGCAAACUUCAUAGAAGUAUAUGUAAAAACAGAGAUUCAAUUUGAAAGAUGAUGGGUCAGUAGCAAAUUCCAGAAAUAUCGCUGUAAGGAAAAAAAAGAAAGAAAGACCCCAUGUGCACCUAUUGAAGCAUAUUUUUUUUAUAUCCAUCAUUUAGAGACUUAUUUAGUAUAUCUGACAAUUGUAGUUGCUAUGAUUAAUCGAAUUUACGGAGACUACCUAGAUGAGAUGGCCAAGAGACUUUUAGCAUGAUAUGAUAUACUUACCUUAAUCGUGGCCAAAAGACUUGAAACAUGAUAUGAUAUAGUUGCUCUGAGGUAUGGAGGUAUGGCUAUUUAAAGUUAUUUGCAUGAUCCAAAUAUAGGGGUAAAAGGUGGGGGGGGGGGGGGGGGCAGCAAAUCAGCAGAAAAAUUAUCAUAGAUGGGAAACAUACCAGAUGGAGCAUGUGGUUGCUGAUUUACAUUCCAUGCCAAGGAAUAAAAGGGAACAUAUAAUUUAUAAGUUUGUAUUGUCCACUUGCUAUUUAAAUUCAGAAUAUGUAGAUUAUUUUAAAGUAAUGAUAUUAUCUGAAUAUCCUUUUUCCAGAAUAUGCAGACACAUUUCAGGUUUAUAAGCUUGAAAAAAAAGGCACUAACGAACAUUCCAUCGUUGGUCAAAGAAUCCCAUCAUAGAUCAACUGGCCUAAAAAAGAAGAAAAAUAAGUGUUUCAUGCAUAGAAAGUGGUUUCAAUUUUAUAUCCAUCUGUUGGAUAUUAAGACAAAACUUGAAGGAGAAUAACUAUUCCACAUUGGUUCCAGAUAAUUAAUUACAUCCUUUUCAUGAGAAAGCAACAAUUAACAAUUACUUUUGUUCCCCAUAACACAUUGGGCCAGCUGUACUUCCCAACUAUCAUGAACAAUUUGUUUAAACAAAAAUUAGCAAUAAAGCACAUGGGACAUUAUUCAAAUACCAGUAUGUCCACUAUCAUUGUCAGUAAGUUCCAAACACUGUCAAUGGAUUGUAGUUCCUACACUAUAAGAACUACCUCAUCCAAUAUCCUACUAUCCCCAACUGGUUGUCAAUAACUGUAAGCCUACCUGACCAUUUGAAAUAAAAUAUUUGAUAGUUUUGGAACACAGGUAGCUGCUUAAAUAGUAUAUAGUCUUCAAUAUGAAAUGUCACAUUUUAGCAAUAUGACUAUGCAUGUAGCAUGUUAAGCAUAUUUCUCUUAUCAAUAACUAUUUCAAUUCUAAACAAAAACUACAACAUGAGUAUAUGUUUUUCUUUAUUGCCUAAAUUCACACACCUCAGAUGAGAUACCAUACUUCCCAAAAAUGCAUUAGUGCUCGUACAGAGAGAACCUAGCUAGUAUUUCUUAGUAUACCUCUAGCUAAGAAGAGGAACCAAAUUAGGCGACAAAGACUAAUGCACCUCGUGCAAGCUGGUGUAUAAUAAAAAAAAGUCCCAUGGCUACAGCAUAGGACAAUCUUUGUUAAAAUUCCAGUUCUAAAUAGGUUACAAUGACUUCGUAUGAUGUUCAAAAAAAGUAAUUGAUUCGUAUUGAGGCAAAACAAAACUUACAUAGAUAUGUUCCACUUCAUAUGCACUGGGAGGGAUACCUGCAUCUAGAGAAGCUUAUAAGCACUGAUAAAUAAAGAACAGUAGGGCAUUUAGGGCAUUUAUAGUAUGGUCUGAAAGGCUUUGAGUUGGAUCUGCACUAUUAUGUUUCUUGUGUACAUAAUAUGAACUGAAUCAGCCCAAGAAGAACUUUACCUUGGCAACCAAAGAGAAUCAUUACAUACAUGUCAAAGGUAUCCUAAGCUUGAUAUAAUGAACGAAAGCCCCAAAUCGCAUAAAUAUGCCCUGCAUCACAAAUGGGAACAAAUAAACCUAUCAACAAUAUCGUUUUGCCCUCCAAAGUUGUAUAUGCAAUUCCUAACUGAAACAAUUAAUCACAGCAUAGAGAAUUUUGAGUAGCAGCGUGUGUUGUUUCAAGCUAAACAGUUUGAUCACACAUGACAGUGUUGAAGUACAUGCAGAGGGAAAUUUCUCCACACAACCUACACACUAUAACUGAAUAAUGCCAUACACAUUAAAAGCAAAUCAAGACUGGCACUGUAACUAAAUCAAGGCUUACACAUUAGAAGCAAAUCACGGUUGUAAUCAUCAACAACUAAGGUCCAACCACUUCCUUCUCAUGGCCCUAUGACACUGAGCUAGAACGAAAAGGAAAAAAGAGAACAGGAACGACCAGGCAGCUAUUGUCGCGGAGCCGCAGCUGUCUUCAUCGCGGUCCUGGUCAAGCCGACACUCUCCCUUCCCUUCUCAUGGCACUGAGCGAGGCUCUCAUGGAGAGGGAGAGGAGAAGAUGGCAGUGGCGGCGGCCGGAGAGGGACAGGAGAAGAGGGCAGCGGCGGCACCCUAUUGACUCCAUCCGGGCGACCGAUUCAACUGGAGGGGAGGCCAAGAUUGAUGAAUCAGACGGUCCCCGAGCCAUAUUUGACACCGCAGAGAGGGAGCGGCGGUGGCAGCACGGUAGAGGAGAAGGGAGCUGCGGCGGCGACGGCGCUUGCGAGCGGAGGAGGUGGGCGUCUGGGCGCCGGAUCCGCCGGCGAGGAGACCGGGGUCACCGGAUCCGGCGGUCCCGGCCUCCUCACUAGGAGAUCCGGCGGGUCAUUGGGAGGGAGCGGCGGCGGCAGCACAGUAGAGGAGAGGGAGCUGCGGCGACGACGGCGCACGCGAGCGCAAGAGGCGGGCGAGGUUGCGGUGCGAGCUGAGGAGGUGGGCGACGGCGCACGCGAGCGCAGGAGGCGGGCGAGGUUGCAGAGCGAGCGGAGGAGGUUGCGGCGCGCGUGUAGGGAGAGGAGAGGACGGGCGGCUAGGGUUUGUACCGGUUGGCGAAAUCCAGGCCGUCCGUCCAUAAUCCGACGAUCGCACGGGUAAGGAAGGGCCAGCACAGCGGGACACGUGGACGGCCAGAUUGACCCUACGGUGAGAUCGGACGGUGGAAAGAAGCGAGGACCGGCGCAUAAUUAUCCGAAAGUGCAGGGGUUUUUUCGCCAAAAUUGAUGAUGUGGCACUCUACUCUUCCCGCGUUCCCACGGCUUUUAAGUAAACCUAUAUAUUAACUAUUUAGUAUUCGGUUAACCUUAUCUUGAGAGGUAGCUACAAAAUUAUGGUGCAAUACAUCUGUUCAAUACUAAUUUAGUACUUCAUCCGUUUCACUUUAUAAAACAUCUAUUUCCUUGUCUAAAUGCAACAUCUAUAUGAAAUUAUGUGUCCAAAUUCAUAUCGAACCAUACAUGAAUCUUUUUAAAAUCCAAAAAUUCUUAUAAUAUAAAUAAUUAAUUAUCACACUCCGAUUAACGACAACUUGCUUUCAUUAGGCCCCCUCCAAUAUGAGCCAAUCAUGUAUUUUCACCACGCUUUAGGACUUUGGCAUAGCAUAUGUGCUGGCCACAUGGAAGUGAUGCAACAGUUAACAACGCUUUGCUAAGAUUAGAAUAAGGCAACAUUGAAGUGAUUAAUGGGGUUGUUCUCAGUACUAACUCUGUUUUCUUAGGUUUCGUUCAUGGACGGUAGAUAUGUUCAAAGUUCGUUUCUAAUUUUCUAUGUUGCUUAAUACUUGUUUCUAAAUCAGCUCCAAACUCUUAGUAUAUAGCAUAGAAUAAUGUGAAAUACCAUGAUGUAUACAAGUAAUUCAAGAAGCUAUUUCUGUGAUAUGAAUGCAGUCCGGCCAUCGAAAAAAGCAAGAAGUUCCAAAUGUAUGGAUAAUAUGCACACCUUUAUUGUAUUUCAAUCUAUUUAAAUAUGCCAACCACUUACACUUAAUUUAUUUGGAUAAUUAUUUUUUUCACAUGUAAAAUUAUGAAAAAAUUGAUGUGAGUUGGCAUGGAACUGAAUCUCAAUUUAAUUUAGACAUAUAUACAAAUUAGGCAAAUUUUGCUAUAGGACAUCACGACUUCGUGGUUUUAGCCGUAGGACACCGCACAAACUCACUUUUAGGGGAAAAAACACUCUUUAAACGUGCUUAUUUGCCACUGGACACCACGUCCAUUAAAAUAUUAAUUUUCGGUUGAAUAGAAGAGAUAAAUAGUAUGAAAGGUCAAAAAUACCCCUGACCCCACUUGUCAUAUUCUUCCUCUUCCUCCUGGUUGUGCAGCUUCUCCCCGGACUGUUGCCGGUCCAAGUGCGUCGGCUGGAACACGCUCAUGGAUUCCCUGCCUGCUAUGUCCUGCUCGUAGUAUAGGUCCUUGAUCCUCUCGGAGUAGGCGCCAUGUAGCGACACGACGAGCACCGGCUUGCGCCUCCCCGGCCGCGCCGCCCGGCUGCUCUCCGGCAGUGGUAAAGUUGAGCUCCUGCUGCACACGGGGCAGGAUGUUCUCUCCAUGCGCGCACAACAUGAUCUGGCCGUAGAGCUCGUCGGUGGAGAUGCGCGCCAAGUAGAAGGAGCACACCUGGAUGCCGACACGCUACUCAGUGUAGGCCAUGUACGAGGCAUGGUACCACGUUCCUCGGGUGGAGCAGGUAGCGGCCGAGGAGGUGGAACGCAGCAUCGUGGCACGGGAACAUCCGCGGCAGCACGCGCUCGAUGCGCGAGACCAGGAACAGUCCGAGCACGAAGUAGUUGUCGGAGAGGAGCACCAUCCAGUCGACGCGCCACAAUGCGUCCAGCCCGUCGUCGCAGAAGAAGCGCGGCUCAUUGCCGUUGCGGUUGAAGUACGUCGUGCUGCAGGUGCAUGUACAUCCAUGGCGGUAGUGGGUCUCGGGCAGCGCGUUGCCGCGCCGCAGCGCGUUGCCGAGGCUCUCGCGGGUGCACGCGUUGAAGCCCCGGAUGCCGGAAAACGGGAAGUCCCCCUCCGGUAGUGUCCACGUUGAGCCCGGGAAUUGCUCGCAGAUGAGAUAAGGAAGAAGAGAGGAUGGGGAAGAGAAAGGAGGGGUAAUUUGGUUACUCUGCAUAAAAAUAUGGGCCCGUGUCGCCUUGUCAGCACGAAUACGUUAUUUUAAUAGGGGCAGUAUCCGCUGGCAAAUAACCACAUUUAGAGAGUGUUUUCUCCUAAAAGUGAGUUCGUGCGGUGUCCUACAACUAAAAUCACGAAAUCGCGAUGUCCUGUAACAAAAUUUGCCUACAAAUUAACGCCGAUGGCACAACAGAAAAAAGUAAAUCACUAUUUUUAUUUUAUACUCCCCCGUCUAAAAAAACAGACCUAGAACUGUAUGUGAUACAUUCUAAUACAACAAAUCUGGAUAGAGUUAUGUCCCAGAUUUGUAAUAAUAGGAUGUGUCAUAUCCAGUGCUAGAUUGGAUUUUUAUGGAACGGAUGGAGUAACUAUGAUAUAUGUUUGUGCUCGUGAUUUUGCUUUUAUAAUUGUAGUCGAUCAUCUACGGAACUAUUUAUGUGUGUAUAUGUAGCCAUUCUAUAUCUAUAUAUUAGACACUACCACUCCCCUCUCUCUCUACGUUAUCUCUUUUCUCAGCCUUCCCGGCUUACCACCUUUUCCCCACCUUCUUCCCUGCUUCCCCUCCUCUCCACCGUCAACAGCGGGCGUCGGUGGCGGCCCCGUGGGUGCGCCUCCACGCCACCCGCAGCACCCAGGAUGAGGAGGUCAAGGUCGACGCCACCAUGUUCGACGGCGCCGCCGUCCCGCCCCCAGACGCGCCCCUCUUCCGCCGCGUCGAGUCGCUCGACCACGUCCCGCGCCUCCACCUCGGCCUCAUCAUCGAGGCCUCUACCGCGACAUGUUGCACCAGCACCAGAAAUCAUGUUGUACGGAAGCUUUUGUGAUUUUGCUCUCUGGUUUAUGUGGUUUGUGAAGUUCCACUUCUGUAAAUGAUUCGCAGCAAGCUGGAGGCUAGGGAGAGGGAGUACGUGAGGAAAUUCUUGCAGGAGAGGGCGGCGGCGGCAGCGGCGGCCGGGCGAGGCGGCGCUCCCACGGGAGAUUCACGACGAGAUCGGCCUAGAGUUCCUCGGCAACGUCACCGGCAAGCCAUACACGCUCCACGCCAACAUCUUCGCCAACGGCGUCGGCAGCCGCGAGCAGCAGUCGUCGCAUCUCCUCCUGGUCGUGGUCCUCAUCGUGCACAUCGUCGCUCGGCUCCCUUGACGACGAUGCCGUCGUUGCGUGCGUCGUCAAGGCGGCGGCGAGCGGGCGAGCGGGCGGCGGCCAUUUUCACUUUUUUUUUGUUUUUUUUCCGUGCGAGCGGUAUAAUAUGACCGCAUCGGGAUAAUCGAUUAUCCCGUGCGGUCCAUUAUCCCAUACGGUUGGGCCGUCCGUACGCGAAAAUAUUGAUUUUUUCAGACAUUUGGGUAUAGACGGGCAAAUCCUCCGCACAGAAAAAUCAUUUUGACCGCAAGGAAAAAUGGUUUUCGCAGUAACGAGAGACCGAAGAAGAUUGUACAAUUAUUAAUUGGGUAAUUUGUAACCAUGCCAUUAUAAUUUUUUAAAGUUUAAGAUAUGCCAUCGGUAUCUCAAUGACACGUAGGACCCACAUGAAUCAAUGACAUGUGGGUCAGGAUGGCAUAUCUCAAAUUUUACAAAAUUAUAAUGGCAUGGUUACAAUUUUCCCUUAUUAAUUUAUGUUCGCAUCGCGUGCGGUUUGAUAAGUGAUUUAACUAGGUUCCUUGUUUUGUCUAAAGCACCACCACCAGAAUCAUCAGUAUAUUUUACUGUGGAUUUUGGAGUACAAUUAAAAAUUCUAUUACACUGACUUAAAAUUUGAAUGACUUUUACCUUUUUAAACUCUAUGGAUGAACCCUAAAAAAAUAAUUGCCGAACAAAAUAUUAUUUCAAACUGGGAGAUGAUGUGGCAGUUUUUUUUAAUUUUAUACAGUGGAUUUUUGGAGUACAAUUAUUUUACCAUUGGCAAGAUGAGCAUAUAUUAUUUUUUUAAAACUUUAAUUUGUUGGAUGGAUAGUAUGAGUACAUUUUAUACAAUCUAUAUGUUCUUUUAUACAGGCUCUGUGUACAGCUCAGAUGAUGCACUUUUCCUGUGUGAAACUCUGAAGUAUGAUUCAUGUCAGGCACGUUUUUUUAGGAUAAUGUCACGUGCCUCUUUUAUUUUUUGCCACGUGUUUGAAAAUUAUUUUAUUUUAGGAUUUUUAUUCAUAUUAAAAUGGAUUGUCCAUUUUAUUUUUUUUAUAUGUAUGACUAUAGUGUACUUUGAGAUAUGUAUGAAUAUGUGUAGCCAUUCUAUGAAGCUUUUUAUUCGGUCAUUCUAUAUCUAUAUAAUGAUUAAUUUAUGAUGAUUAAUUUAUGUGUGCAUGCGUACAGUUUGAUAAGUGAUUUUGGUAUUCGGGCCUUGGCCGUAUUUAGUUCCUCCAAAAUUUUUUUGACACCACAGACACACAUUUAAAGUAUUAAACAUAGACUAAUAAAACAAAUUACAGAUUCCACCUAUAAACUGCGAGACGAAUUUAUUAAGCCUAAUUAAUCUAUCAUUAGCAAAUAUUUACUGUAGCACCACAUUGUCAAAUUAUAGCGUAAUUAGGCUCAAAAGAUUCGUCUCGCAAUUUACAUGCAAACAAUGCAAUUGAUUUUUUUUUCAUCCACAUUUAAUGCUUCAUGCAUGUGUCCAAACAUUUGAUGUGACGGAAUUUUUGGAAGUUUGAAGGGAACUAAACACAACCCUUAUUUAGAUCCCAAAAAAUUUUGGCCAAAAACGUCACAUCAAAUGUUUGGACAAAUGCAUGGGGCAUUAAAUGUGGAAAAAAAAUCAAUUGCAUAGUUUGCAUGUAAAUUGCGAGACGAAUCUUUUGAGCCUAAUUAUGCCAUGAUUUGACAAUGUGAUGCUACAGUAAAUAUUUGCUAAUGACGAAUUAAUUAGACUUAAUAAAUUCAUCUCGCAGUUAUAGGCGGAAUCUGUAAUUUGUUUUGUUAUUAGUCUACGUUUAAUAAUUUAAAUGUGUGUCCGUAUACUUCAAAAACUUUGCACCCAAACAACUAAACACACCCUCAGGCAAUAUAACUUGGUUCUUUUUUUCUCUAAUGCAGCACCACCAUAGUCAACUGUAGAGUUAUCCCUUGGUAUGUGAAGUGAUGAUCAGAGCCAAUGUACCUCUCAAACCGACUCACAAAUGGAUAUCAUCAUUGUUGAAAGAAGGGUUUCAUCGGGGUUUUAACCGAUGAGGUAUGUAGAUGUUGCAUCGGCUUACAAAGAUUGCAUAUAAGUUGGAUUUAGCCAUUCGCAACAAAGGUUUCACUGUUUAUCUAAUCUUGUGGAUUUUAUGACAUGGGACCUCCAGCCAAUAUAUGCUUUAACCAUCGGAAUAUUUAUUUUAUCAUAUCAUUGUUAGCCGAUUAGUUUCUACUGGAUUAUAUUAUUGUUAUUUAUCAUCAUCGGCUGAUGGCCUUUAUGUCAUUUAUUUACUCAAGUAUCAGACUUUGCAUUGGACAUAUAGCCGAUUGCUCAAAACCCUAUCAACAUCUGCUGGUAUCGGCAUCAGUUGGAAUUACUCCGUCUGCUUGUCAGCCAAUCGGCUCAUUGAUCUACUAUUUGCAUAUCUUAUCAGUUGCAGGAUCAAACUGACUGACACUUCUGCAUCUCAUCAACCUUUUGACCUGCACUGGAGCUAAGUAGAUCUCCCAUGCCGUUGGGUUUGUUGACUUAAUUUUGCGCCAACACAGUUCUGGCACCAUCGGCCGAGCGCGGUUUUUUCGUCAACAGGGGGUAAAAUGAAAAAAAAAGGAGAUGCUAAGGUGCCUAUUUUUUCCUCUCAGGGUGGGAUGAGGAUUUGUGGAAGGAUUCCUUAGAAAAGAAGUUUCUUGAAGGGUAUUGAAAAUAUUUCGCAAACUGAGGAAAUAACGGCUAGAAGCAUCGGAACGAAGAAUUGAACGGCUAAAGUUCCCUUAAUGACGUGGUGUUGUAUUUUGCAAGGAAAGGUUUCACUUUUCACUUAUUUAGAUAUAACACACAUGCAUGUAUUUUCGUGCAACUAGUGACUUGCAACACAUGAUCCCUGCUAGAUGCCUGUUGGCAGUCAUUAAACCCUAAAAUCACCACCAAUAUUAUAAUAAAAAUAUCACAUAAAGCAUGUUACCUAGGUCGAUUUUGCCUUAUUUCAAUGAGUUACACGAUUUCUGUUGGAUUUCACUACGCGUAUAAUAAUUCACGAUUUUGACCUAUUUUUUUUCCAAUGAAAAUCUGGCAUUUUAAGCCAAAGGGCUGACCAGCCGACCAACAUACCUCAUGGGUCAACCGGCCUAAAGACUUGGCCGACUAGCCAACUCAGGGCUCGGCCAGCUAUUUGGAAACGUGUCCUGAUUGGCCACCCUCCUCACUGAGCCGGCUGGCCUGCGCAGCACGAUGUGAGGCUAAUGAUUGAUUGGUGGACCCCAUUCUGGGAGUGAUGUCUUCUCGGAUGAGUAACAUGUAGACUUACUUUUCCCUCUUAAUAUUUUAUUCAUACAUUAUGCUUAUUGCCAUACUUUUUUUCCUAGUUCUCUUCUAAGUUUAUUUUUUAUGCUUGCUUGAGUGGAUGCCUCAUUUAUAAUUAAGCUGGGAACAUGUAUAGUUCUAUGUGUGGGUGUGGUGCUUAGGAAUAGUUUUAUCUAGGAAGGCUGGUUGGGGAAACAGAGGACGUAGUUGGCCGGGUGCCGACAGCCUCGGUUGUCCUUUGAAGCCAGCCACGUUAACCCUAAUUACGCUGACGCAAAUAGGUAGACCAAUGCUUAAUGUGGAAAGCAGUCCUGUUUCCAAAGCAAGCAAGGAUAAGUGUAGCUAAAUGGAUUUCCUAGAAUGAAAGCAGUCUUGUGAUGUGGGGAAUAACCCGGGGACUUGAAUCCUGACUAAUUCGAUGAUUUCACAACCAUAUCAUCACAUUCACACAACAAAUACAUAUAUAUAGACAAUAAUGUUCACAUUUCUAAGUGUUAACAAAAGACACACAUCACAUUGGACUAACUGGUCAAAUAAAAGAGAGUCAAACAUAGCGCAAUAAGAGAACAAAAAAAUAUAUACAUUCUUUAGUAUGCCAUCUAACUAACUAGGAAUUACUACCCAUGUCGAAACGCGGAUGACCGCACCGAGAAGGCAAAUUCUUCUUUGCCAAUCGAAGAGCACAAACAAGAAUGAGAUAGAAUACAACCAAAAUUACAGAUGAAUGAUUAAGCUCACAAGUUGGGGUCUUACAAACCGAUCUAGCGGCGAAACUAUUCUCGACAGAAUAUUCUAAGCAAAACCCGACUCUAAACGAUGACGGCUACUUAAUUAAUAUGAUUAGGGACGUCCUAGGGUUGCCCUAGGGCGCACACCCUCAUGGGCUAAGCCCACGACACAAUUAUAAGGCCCAAAACCCAAAUCAGAUUUGGAUUGGAUGAGAUACAUAACUUGUUUUGUAGAUUCCCGACAGCUCGGUAGGAAUUUUGACGUAGGACCAAAACCAUCUAAAAGUAGACUCCAUAAGCUUUCCAACAAGUACUCAUAGGCCCCGAAAUUCCUUCUAGAUCAACAUCUAGGUUCGUUUGAAGUUGAUGCUGUCAGGAGGCCCGAAUCCGAAUCCAAAACGUGUAGAACUUGAUCUCUUGUCUUCUAUGGACCAAAAGUGACGUGGUGAGGUAGAAGUAGACUUGGAGAAGGUCUUGGUUUGGUCCCCAAUCAACUUCUUUGAUCAUCCAUGCAUUCGUUACGCUCGGUCUCUUUUCCUUCGCCCAAGCAAGUACCUCUACAAACAAAAACACAUCAUUGUGUAGCAACGUUUGUUCAAAUAUAUAACAAGUAAAUCUAAUGUAGAACAUAUGUACCUUUGUUUGAUUAAUAUAUAAGGUAUCCAUGGUUAUAUCCAAACUAGUAGUGUCCUCAUCACCUAGCUAGAAGUAUCAUGACGCUAAUGGUGGUGGAUAGAAAAUGGCAAAGGAAGGGAGAUAGUGCUGUUUCCAAAGGCAGAGAUGAAGUAAAAUAGGGUUCAAUGUAAAACAAAAGGGAGAGAGAGAGAGAGCUCAAAGUGAAAAGAAUGUGUAAAGGAGGGCAAAAGUGAAACUUUUGUAGUAAAGAGGUCCACAUUGCAAACCAUCUCUAUGUUUUAAGUUUUGAUGCAUGUAAAAAUAAUGUGACUGUGACAUCCCGGCCCAAUUUGGAUUAGGCCUGUGUGGCCCAUGUGAGUUGUGUGCGUAUGUUUAGUACGACCUUAUUAGUUUAGCAUGAGUGGAACUAACUUAUAAGGCCUCUUCCCUCCAACCAUACCCUUUUACACGAAGCGAGGACGAAAGUGUAAGUGGAGUGAUGUGUGUAAGUGGGCCCGCUACGUGGUUCUGGAGGGAGGGCUGUAACAAAUGGUAUCGGAGCCGACCCUUGCGAUUGCGCGUACGGGUCAGUGUGCGGGCAUAUGGCGCUGGCACUGGACGUACGGAUGUGCGCUUCGCGGUUGCGCGUACAGGUCAGUGUGCGGGCAUAUGGCGCAUGGCGCAUGUGGGCUCUGUGUGAGGCACAUGGCAUGGCAUAUGGCGCUAGCACUGGACGUACGGAUGUGCGCUGAGAGGGGGUGUGUUCCUGGACAGUUGCCUAUAUGCCUGUGUGGCUACAUGGGUAAGUUGGGCCGACAGGGAUGUCGGGUCCUUUGAGGGGGGGGGGGGUUGUGACAUCCCAGCCCAAUUUGGAUUAGGCCUGUGUGGCCCCACUCCCGGGUUAACCCUUUUAUACGAAGCGAUGACGGAAGUGUAAGUGGAGUGGUAUGUGUAAGUGGGCCCGCCCGUCGGAUGGGCUGGCUACACGGUUCUGUAGGGAGGGCUGUGACAGUGACGUGGUCAUCACUUCCAACUUAAAUGCUAAAAAUAUUGUUCUCAAUUUGUAACCUCCAUUGAGAGUAUUAUCAUGUUCUUAGUAAUUGCUUAUUGAUAUUUUUAUGGAAAAAGAGGUGUAGGCAAUCUUCUUCACAUUAUUCAUUACAGUAAGAUCGUUACACAUUUAGUUUACUUCUCGUUGAUCUGCCACUCAGCAUACUGUUGCGGCCCACGCCUCGGAGCAAAGACAGCCAUCUCAUCGCCGCGGUUGAACUUUACAUGCCUAGAGUCCUCCCUUGAAAGCCUAUAAGCAUUGGCGACCACGUCAACGGGUAGAGCACGAAGAAUGGAGGCCUUCCCUGCGAUCUGACUGUCGACAGCAUUGUGAUUGGUCUUGAAGGAUACCCAUGC
rnacentral:lncRNA from 1 species